AAAGAAAAAAAAAAAAAAAAAGUCGGCCGGGGACUUUAAUGCGCGUAAUAUAUGAGUAAAUUGAUUCAGUGGCGGAGAGAAGAGGAGCGGCUGGAGAGCAGCGGAAUAAAUGCUGCGGUGCGGGUGGGAUCGGCUCGAGGCUGUUUCAGACGGAGGAGAAGGCGGAGGAUUUGAUGAGUGUUGGUGCUGCCAGCCUUUUCCUCUGGAAUGUGGCAGGCGUUGUUGCUGCGCCGCCCGACUCCUCCAAUAACACCUCCCACCACUCCAACCCUCUCUCUCUCUCUCUCUCUCUCUCUCUCUCUCUCUCUCUCUCNUAUUUUAGUAAAAAUUAUUUUACUAUUAUUUAAUUUUGGUGAAACAAAUUAAGAGCUUUCAAGUUGAAGGAUCAAACAAUAUGGUAGGGUAAGUAAUAAAGGGAGAAGCUCCAAAUUCCAAAACCGCCCCUUCCACCCGUCACCUUCUCAUCCUACGUGCACUACGUGUGCAUGGCUCACAUGCAUUGUCACUGCCUAUGUCACGCCACUCAACCCACCCCCCACCUCUCUCUCUCUCUCUCUCUCUCUCUCUCUCUCUCUCUCUCUCUCUCUCUCUCUUACUGUUGUUGCUUCUUCGAUCUUCUUCUCCCUUCUCUCUCGACAGCACUCUUUCGAGCCUCUGUAGUGACGUCUCUCUCUCUCUCCCUGUACUAACUAUUAUUAUGCGUCUCUUCUCUCUUCCUAUGAUUGAACAGAACAGAACAGAAUUAGUAGAAUAGAUUAGGAUAGGGAGCAGUCACCACUCACCAGCGGGGAUGGGGAGCAAGCGAAAAGAAGAGAGAGAGGGAUGGAUUCAGAUUCGGUUGGGAGAAAGAAGAAGAAGAAGAAGAAGAAGAAGAAGUUGAGAUGGGUGGAAAAACCAGUGGCGUUUUAUUAAGAGGGGAGGAGGGGAGGAGGCACACAGCACACUAUAUAGGCAAGGAUUAGGAUUUAGGAGGCUCUUCCUCCUUUGACUGCGAAAUCCACUUGGGUCAUUUCAUUUCCCUUCCAUCCCCCCCUCCCCUGCUUUCCUUUUUCUUGUGCUUGGUUUUUGUAUUGAAUGGAAUAAGACCCCCGGCCCCGGGCCGAGCUCAACUCUCAACGGCUCUAAACACCCAGGCCUCCCCUUUGCCAACAAUAAAUACUUCUUUUUUUUCUUCCUCUUCUUCUUAUUAUUAUUAUUAUUAUUAUUAUUAUUAUUAUUAUUAUUAUUAUUGUGGUUUUAUGAUUUCUUUUCUUUUCUUUCCAAGUGUUACUAUUUUAUUUGGCUUUAAUUAACUCCCUCCAGCUUCAAUCUCUUCUUUUAAUAAAAGCUCGGAUCCGCGUCCCACUUUCCGGGUUUGAACUCCAGACCGCAAUCAUCCAUAAUGCUCCUCCGUUUCUUACCAUGAUCAAGUAAUGGGGAUUCGGAGAAGCAUUAGGAAAAAAAAAUUUAAAAAAAAAAACCCCACCGUAAAUAAACUAUUAAAGAAGAAGAAGUCAAUAAUUAAGAAAUAAUAAUGGCCACAAUUAACUGACUUUGGGCCUUCCAUGUGAAAAAAAAAUGAUCUAACGAAUUUAAUGGCACUCUUAAUAAUAAUACCUAGGUUUAAAAAGCGCGAUACGGCUUUUAGGAGCCACUAAAUUCUGGGUGGGCCUGCCAUCCGAACGGUGAAGCGUGCGGCAAAUUACAAUCAUUUUUACAUUACCUUGCAAACAAUGAGCUUCUAGUUAGCAGCACAAGUUAACGGUACGAAUUUUUCAUUAAUUUCCUUCAGGGCAUGCUACCUUUUUUCAUUAAUUUUUCAUUAUUAUUAUUAUUAUUAUUAUUUUGAUCGACCCGCUCUAGAUUUCACUAUUGCUAAAUUUAUCUUAUCUAUAAAUGGAGCGGUAGUUUUUCAAAAAAAAAAAAAAAAUCCUUCAGGGCAAAAUCUAUUGAUAGUCUCUGAGAUAUUCCCCAUUAUCUGCUUGAUCUUUGCACUUUUCUUUUCAAUAUUUUUUAAAAAAUUAAAGUGUAAGAUAAUUUCCUAUGUAUAUUUAUAUGAAAAACUGAAAACCAUACCACAAUAAAUUCACAGUAAAAUUCAUGAAAAAAUGGAAAACUUUUUGUUGGUUAAAAUAAUAAGGCACAGUUUAUUGAUAAUAGGGGAAUUUGUACCUUGCAAUCUGCUCCCGACUAUCAAUAGUGCAUCGUCAAUUCCAUCUAAAAGUAAGAAUAGAGCACCGAGAGAGAAAAGAGCUAAACAGAUUAAAAGAAAACGAAAGGAUGAAAAUUAGGAAAUACAGUGUCUGUAGAAGAGAACUAGAAAAACAAGGAAAUUUAUGUACUAUAUAAUAUAUAUAUAUAUAAUUAUAUAUAUAUAUAUAUAUACUUAUAUAUUAUAUUAAACCUAAAUAAUAAUACAUAUAUAGAGAAAGGUUAUUUGGCAUUAAAUAAGGAGGAGAAUGGAGCGAGUAGCUCAUUACUUUUCUUAAAAAAAAAAAAAAAUAAAAGCAAAAAAAAAAAGAGAGGAGGAGAAUGAUAUGAAUAUCUCUAAGAUCAUGAAUAUCCACUAAAGAUGACUUCAUCAUUUUAUAUUCUAAAUUAUGCGUAAUGAAUUAUGAUAAGAGUUUCUCAAAAAAAAAAAAAUUAUGAUAAGAGAAUGAGCAAUUAGACCACAACUUUGGGUCCCCGCGGAUGCUAUAUAGUGUAGUAAUGGAUUUAUUGAUGUAUCUGCUUUUAUAAUUCAGAUAGAAAUUCAAAAUUUUUCCUUUUGAUUAGCUCAUGCACAUUAUUGAAGGUAUUACAGAAAAUUUUCAAAUACAUAAAUAAAUCUUUACGGACAUUUUACCAAAAACUUUAGUAUUUCCUUGAAUAAAAAUAUUCACCGCAUUUGCACUCAUAUUUGUCUUAUCCACCGGCUUUCGUUUAUUUUUGUUGCAUUGCGGUUAUCAUUCAAUCAAACUAUUUCCAAAAAUUAUCUAAAUUUAUUGAACUCUUUUCUAGACUUUUAACUUUUCAGUCUUUCAUUUUUUUUUUUUAGGCUGUCAAAUUAAUGGACGUUUGGCAAACUAACAUUUUUGUUCAAACAUUUCAUUUUUCAAUGAGUACAAAAUUUUAGUGAAAACAACUAGGAUCAAAUUGCAAUUUUUAGAUAGUACAACAACUAUCCAAAAUGGAUUUAAACGGGGCGGAAUAAUGACUACAAAUAUCCGUAUGAGGAUGUAGAAGGACACUAGCAUGGUAAAUCAUAUAAUUUGUUUACCAUUAUUUUUAUUAUUAUUUGGAGAUCAGCUGUUGUUACGGUCAACUAAAUUUCUAAGCUGAUUUAGAUAUUAGGUCUAUUCUAUUAGUAAAUUACGAAUGCAAUUGUACUGGCAAAUAUUAUUAGAUUAGAUGAUACUUUUCAUAUUUGAUUGUCUUAUCAAUUAAAAAUUUAUAUAGAUUCAGGAUCAUAAGUAAGAGUUUUCUAUUCUUCUGUAUUCAAUGAUUAGUCUUAUUACCACAGAAGAGUUUUUUUUCAUAUUGACUUCUACAGUUGACAAAAUUAGAAGGAUAGAUACAUUAGUUUCUUAAAAUUAUCAGGCAUUAGUUAGAAAGGGGUUAAUGUUAAUAUACAUGUCCACAUUAAAAUGUAUACCAAAUUAGAGAAAAUGUAUGUGUUAAAAAGAAAAAAGAAAGAAAAAAAAGAAUGUUAAAGUUGAGCAUAUUUUUGAAGUACUAGAUGAUGGUGCAACUCAUGUAUGUACGUAUCUAGAAAGGUAGAUACGAAUUCGGAUCCAACCCCAGAUACCUGAAAAGGGAUAUAUAUAUAGAGAGAGAGAGAGAGAAUUAGGCUGGAAUACUAUUAAUAGUAAAGCACUCUUUUUGCUAUCAAGUUUUUAACCCUUGGAUGAAAAAUUGUAGGGUCGUGAUGAUAUUAGUCGGUUAGAGUUGAGUGGUCCUCCUAAGGUUGAGUGGUCCCCACUGGGUUAUAGUAUUUAAUCUAAUGGUUAGAAAUAAUAAAAAUAGUUGAUCUAAAGGCUAAAAAACUGGUAGCAACAAUAAAAUUUUGCUACUAAUAGUAGCCCAGUCCAACUCUCUCUCUCUCUCUAUAUAUAUAUAUAUAGAACUGGUCUCCUAUACUAUCUAUAGUACCGGGACUCUGGUAUUAUAGUCUCGUUUUUUAUCUUAGGGUGUUCAAAUGAACGAUCCACACCGUUAAAACUAAUGUAAGGUAUUUAAAGUUUUUAAAAAUAAUAUUUUAUAUUUUUUCGAUAUAGUUUACUUUAUAAUCAAACCAUUUCAAAAUCGUCAAUUUUCAUUAACUACUAUGACGAAUUUGUAGUUUAAAGGUGUAGAAGAAUAUAAAUUUCUUCAAAUUUUAAUAAAAAAUACUUUAAACUAUUUAAAUUAAUGUUAACAUUCUUGAUCUUGAAUUUAAAAGCCAUAUGCUCAAAUUUUAAAGAUUAUUCAAUUUUUACCGUCCAUUUUGAAAUAAUUUAUUUACUAAGUAAACGAAGUUGAAAAAAACUAAAAUUUUAUUCCUGAGAACUUCAAAUACCCUAAAUCAUAUUUAACAGUGUUGAUCGUUAAUUUGAACACCCUAAGAUUGAAAACAAGACUAUAUUAACGAAGCUCCGAUACUAUUGAUAGUAUAGUAACCUAAUUCUAUAUAUAUAUAUAUAUAUAUAUCUNAUCUUACCUUCCAUUAGAAUGAGUUUUUAUUUAUUUUGAAAAGUCAACCGAUCUUACAUCUUAUCUUUUUAGGAUUAAGGGCCGAAGGCAUCCUUUAACCUUGGAACAGCGCUUGGUUUGGCACUCUUAGCUAAACAUCAAGUGAAUUUAAUAAUAUAUCGAAAAUUCGAACGCUAAUGGAGAUGCUGCUUAAACAGAUUAAAGAUGAGUUUGGAAUGAAAGAUAUGAUCAAUGUCCUAUCUAGCUCAAGCAAUAGUCUUUCGUUUGCUAUGUUAGAUUUCUCUUGGUAUGCAAUUAAGGAACGUAUUAUCACUCUGCAAAACAAUGGAUAUUUAUCACAUUAGGGAGGGCUGAGAUUUAUGAAGAAUCUGAUAGUCGUGAGGUAGUCGACUACAUAAACUCUCUAAAGAUGAAUCAACUUGCAACAGAACUUGAAAUCGAACUAGAGAGUCUACAGCUCAACAUGGAGGGCGAAAAUACACUAUUAUUUCCAGAACAACAUAGAACAGAGGUAUCCGUCUCACAAAGAUGGGUGUUUUGCAUGCUCGGAAUUAGUUUAGCUAAGCCUCGAUCCCCAUUGCAAGAAGGGUUGCCCCGUUAAUUCCUUACACAACCCCACGUUUGCCCCUUCAUUCGGGAUUGUGUCGGUUCGGUGCGGCCUCCUCUCUCCCUUCCCUGCCCCAACCACACCACACUCGCAUGCAGCUCCUUUGCAUUUUCAGUUUUGACCCACAGAUCUCAAUUAAUUCUUAUUUAUUAUUAUCACUAUUAUUACUAUCUUUUGAUUUCGAUGAACCCUUUGCUUCAAUCGUCUUCUUAGUUAGUUAAUUAAUUAAGCACCUCUCUUUCUAUCCUCAAUCAUUUUUCCUAGAUUAUUAUUAUUAUAAAUUAAUUCGUCAGAUGUGGCGCAGGUCGAUGCCCAACGUGGCCACUCGUGUUGCCCAAACGACGUCCAUAAUGCUUGGCAUUGUUUAGUGGUGCGGUAAUGAUUAAUAGCCGAAUUUGAACGCAAUGCCCAUGUUCACUAAGCUAUAGCUAGCUCGGGCCAUGUUCGAUCUCCUCCGCCCUCACUCCUCAGUCCUCACUCACCCUCCACAAAACCACGUGGCCCAUGCAUGCACCGACGUCCUAUAUAUAUAUAUAUGCUCGGCUUUGAACCUCAGCAUCGAUCUUAACCAAACAACGCUCGAUCCGCGGAGCACUUCAAAUCUAUUUUAGGGUGCAGAUACCAGAUGGUGGGUUUUGUGUUGUUCACUCUUGGUCGUAUAGGCGGGCUCUAAUAGGCUUAAUACGACGGGAUAAAUGGAAAUAAAGUAGUAAGCACUAACAAAAUACAGAUUCCUUAAUUUGUUGAGGAACAAAUGGCGUUUAAUUAAGUUGCUGGGGCCUUAAUUAAUUAAUUAGCUUUCUCCGCAUUACUUUCCUAAUCAACCUUUACUUUACUUCACUUUUUUAGGACGCCGUCGGGAAUCUCUCUAAUGGCGUGAGGUGGUGGGAGGGCCCCGCAUGCAUCACACUAAUUAAUAAAGACGCCAAACACCUUUCACACACACACACACACACACACACACACACACGCUCAGAGAAGAGAAGAUAAGGACGUACGUAAUUACCACGCCCACCCCGUCACGUGCCUUUUAACUUCACUUUCGACACUCAUGCCAUGUUUUCAUUUGGUAUUUAAUAAUUUAAAAAUACAUUCUGCAAACUAACUAAUGAGCGGUGAGACAGAUAUAUUCAAGCAUAAAGAAAAUUGAAAAAUGUAAAACUAUUGAGAAACCGCAUCUUAAUUUCUGAACCAACGCAUCUCUCAAUUUAUCUCUAUUGAAUGUGAAUGAGAACCGGGUACCUGAUGAUUGUGAUCAAUUGGUAUUAGUAAGGAGUAGGAGUAAAGGCCAUAACAAACAUGAUUGUAUUAAUUACAAGGUGUGACAUUGGCCCAAUUAGAUUGGAUUUAUGGGAGUGUGGGCAUGUCCUACGCUAAUCAACAGCGAUGAGUGGGGGUGCCCUUUAAAUUUCGUUUGGGUAAUGCAUGGACCCACCCAUAUCCCUUUUGGCGGUGGAGGAAAUCUAUUGCACUUCAUUAAAUACGGGUGACCCGAUUCCUUUAUUAACAACAAAAUAAAGAGGAAAGGUAAACAUAAUUAAUGUCGGGGCAUAACCUCCCAAAGGUGGCGGCUCCACUCUCUCAUCACAUGUACAUCGGAUUGAUGCCGAUAAUUAGCUAGCCAUAACCCCAUCUCGCCUACCUCCUCAUCUAGCUGCCAAGCUAAUUCUCGUGCUGUAACGAAUUUUAUUUUCAACUUAAUUAUUAUGUGAAGUCAAGUGCUAGCACACAACUAGGUUGGAUCGAGAUGGCAUAAUUCAACCAUAUCAUGUGAAUUAAGCUGAUUUGAAAUUGGUCGGACUAAUAGCAAGUCUGAGAGACUCCUCAACUUCGGACUACCUAGCUACUUGGUAUCUGGGCUAGCGAGACGUACUCUUUACGAUUACAUGAUCUUUUGAAAAGAGCGAGUCGUUGGGAGUACAUGGAGUUAAAUAGAGUGAAAAUUUUCAUAUGCAUAAAAGAAAGGAUCUUUCAACGCCCACUAUACUUUCAUUAAUGUUCUAAAUUUCUCUUAUGGUGACAAAUAUGAUACAAAGCGUCCCAAAUUUUGUCUAAUUUUCCGAUACUAGACUGUCACUAUUAUCAAGAACGCGCCCUUUUUUAUUCAGUACUCCUCUGACUUCAUUAGCUCGAACUAUGCAAAUUAAGUUGCUUGUAAAUCUUCUCGAGCUGUUGCCAGUGAGGAGCGCGCGUUAUCUUCCAACCCUGGCGACUCGGGAUCCAAUGUAUGGCCAUUGCACCGAGUCCGAGUUCGAACCAUCAUGUAUGACUCCCAAGCUUGCUCACUACGAUAUACAUAUAUUUAAUUCAGUUCCAAAUGACUUCAUCCAGCUUAAAUCCUGUGUAAGAGGUCUUAAUCUCGCAACCGACCAAUUGACUCUGAUUUCACAUAAAUAAAGUCAGUGACGAUUUUAUAUGAAAUUUCGAAGAAUGCAAUUUUUUUUUUUUUUUCCUAUUUCCAUGUCGAAGGAUGCAAUUCCAUUUUUGCUCAUUAUACCAUACACACUACCUCACAGUUUAUACUACAAUGCGUAAGUAUUACGACCUCUUGCAGCAGCUAGUCAACUCUUUUGCUAAUUGUGAAAUUAAACAAUAUACAUAAUCGAUCUCCAAACCAAUCGAAAGUCAACAGCCCUGUGCGGGUACUCGUACGAAAAUUAAGUUUAUUCAUCAAAUUGAAUAACUAACACGGCAAUUAGUCCGGGGACCUAGUAGAACCCUAUCUAUGUAUGGUCAAUUAUACAAAAUUGAUAUCCAAGCUAGGGAAACUAUAGAUGCAUUACUCUAUUAUUAAUUGAUAUGACCUGUUCGUUCUUUCCGGUCCUUUCAUCUUGGAGUGGACCCUCCAAAUGCAAGCUACCUCUCGAUCCAAUCAUCUAAUCCGUGCCGUUCUAAUUAAUUACCGUCGUUGAUCCGCCUCUCCCAAUUUACUGGGUAACAACAUGCAAACGCCCACGAGUUUUCCAGAAAUAUUUUCCUAUAAUUAAGUAAGCUAUUUGUACAUUAAUAAAUUGAUGUCUUACCAAUCGUCCCUAGAGCAAGUGGCAAAAAGUUUGGUGGUUAAUACCCGAGAUCUCCAAUUCGAAUCCUAAUUGAUUCAUAUUUUCAACUAAAUUUAUUUCUAAAUUAAAAUAAACAAAGCGAUUAGCGUGCUACCUAUCUCUCAAAAAAUAAAUAAAUAAAUAAAUUGAUGUCUUGAUUUAAACUAUAUAUAUAUAUAUAUAUAUAUAUAGAGAGAGAGAGAGAGAGAGAGAGAGAGAGAGAGAGAGAGAGAGAGAGAGGAUACUAUGCUAUCGGAAGCCCAGAGCCUUCCGUGCUCAGCUCGUUUUCGAUGUUGCGACUUUCGAAUCGUCGAUCGGCUUCCGUUAAACUUGAUCUAGAGCAUUUGAAGUACCUAGAAAUAAUUUUAUUAUUUUUCGAUAUCAUUUUGCCUAGUGAUCGAAUGGGCCUCAAAAUCAACAAAUUUUAAUGGCCGCAAUGAGCCGUUUGCAAGUUUAACGGUGUAGAAAUAUCCAAAUACCGUGAAAUUUUGAUAGAAAUAUUCUUUUCUAUAUAAACAAGAUCAAUAUCUUUAAUUAAAAUUUUAAUGUCAUAUUAUUCAUUUUGUAAGGUUUUUAUUUUCAGCCAUUGAUUUUGAGCCCCUUCGUUCACUAGGCAAAUGAUAUCGUAAAAUAUAAAUUUAUUUUCUAUGUACUUCAAAUGCUCUAAAUCAAGUUUAACGGAGCCGAUCGACGAUUUGAAAGUCGCAACAUCGAAAAACGAGCUCGAAAGCACGGAAGGUUCCGUGCUUCCGAUAGCAUAGUAGCCUCACUCUAUAUAUAUAUAUAUAUAUAUAUAUAUAUAGUUCGACUGAAAUAUUUUUAAUUACAUUUAUCAUUUUGUGCUAUCGAAUUUUUUCCUAUUAGAUCUACCACUGACUAUUCUACUCUAUUUAAUUAUACCGUUUCACCUCGAGCCACUUAUAUUUUAACUCUGCAAAUCUUUAUCUAAAUCCUCAAGAGACCGACCACCAUGACUUGAGAGCCUAUUAAAAAUAUUCCAACCCAAUUUACAUAUAUAUAUAUUAUAUAUUCUAUAUAUAUAUAUAUAUAUAUAGCUAGGGCUGGGUAUACUAUCGGUAGCACGGGGCCUCCGUGCUACCAAGUUGUUUUCAAUGAUACGGUUUCCAAAUCGACGACGGUUCUAUUAGACUUGAUCUAACUAUGUAAAGUAUAUUUGGAAAUUAAAUUUCAUAAUUUUCGACAUUGUUUGGUUAGUGAUCAACAAGGUCUCAAAAUUGAUAAUUUUAAUGGUAGAUUUGAUGCAUUUGUAAAUUUAACGGUAAUAAAACAAUCCAAUUCUGAUGAAAUUUAUAUAGAAAUUCUUUUCCCUAUUUAGAGUAAUGAUACGUAUCUCUGAUCUUAAAUUCAAAUAUUUUAUCAUCAUUUUUUAUGGUGAUUUAUUUCAGCCGUGUUAUUUUAGAUACUCGUUUGAUAGGUAAAUGAGUGCCGAAAAAUUAUGAAAUUUAGUUUCAAAUACUUUCAAUAGUGCAGAUCAAUCUAACGAGCACGAUCGUUGAUUUGGAAGCCGCAGCAUUAAAACAACUUGGUAGCACACGGAGGCCUCCGUGCUACCGAUAGUAUACAAGCCUAGCUCUCUCUUCUCUCUCUCUCUCUCUCUCUCUCUUUCUGUUAUAUAUAUAUAUAUAUAUACUAUAUUAUAUAUAUAUAUCUUAGAGUGAGGCUACUAUGCUAUCGGAAGCACGAGCCUUGCUGCUUCCAACUUGUUUUCGAUGUUGCGGCUUUCGAAUCGUCGAUCCGUCUUAAACUUGAUCUGAGUAUUUGAGAGUACCUAGAAAAUAAAUUUAUGAUUUUACGAUUCAUUUGCCUAGUGAACGAAGGGGCUCAAAAUCAACGGCUAAAUAAAAAUCUUACAAAAUGGUAAUUAUAUGAAAUUAAAAUUUUAAAUCAAGAUAUUGAUCUUGUUGUUAUUGUAUUAUAAAGAAUUUUCUAUCAAUUUCACGUGAUUUGGAUAUUUUCUACACCUGUUAAAUGCAAACGGCUCACUACGGCCAUUGAAAUUUGUGUGAUUAUUGAGCCAUUCGAUUACUAGGCAAUGAUAUCGAAAAAUAAUAAAAUUUUAUUUUCUAGGUACUUCAAAUGCUCUUGAUCAAGUUUAACGGAGCCGAUCGACGAUUCGAAAAUGCCACAUCGAAAACAAGCUGGAAGCACGGAAGGCUCCGUGCUUCGAUAGCAUAGUUCAGCCACUUUCUCUCUCUCUCUUCUCUCUCUCUCUAUAUAUAUUAUAUAUAUAGAAUUAGGUGGAAUACAUUAAUAGUAAACGCUUUUUUUGCUAUCAAUUUUUAACCCUUGGAUGAAAAUUAUUAGGUCGAGAUGAUAUUAGUCGGUUAGAGUUGAGUGGUCCCCCUAGGGUUGAGUGGUCCCCACUGGGUUAUAGUAUUUAAUCCAAUGGUUAAAAAUAAUGAAAAGAGUUGAUCCAAAGGCUAAAAAACUGGUAGCAACAAUGAGAUUUUGCUAUUAACAGUAGCCCAGCCCAACUUUCUCUCUCUCUAUGUAUAUAUAUAUAUAUAUAUAUAUAUAUGAAAUUAUCAACCGGCACAUCAGUAAUUCAUUUGAACAAUAUUAUAGAAAUUCAUAAUAAUAUUUUGAACAUUUUGACUUCAAUUUUCUUAGAAUGUAUUGACAUUCAAUUGGAAGAAUAACCGUCCUUCUGUAAGUCUUAUCACGAUUUCGAGAAGGCCAACAUCAAUAAAUGCUAGCGAAAAUCUUACUGCUUUCACUAUAAGUUACUGCAUGAUGAUUCACGUGCCCCAAAACUAGAUAUUUGAUAACCACUGGGAGAUUGACGGAAAAUAUAUCAAAUAUUUAAACAACUAUUGUUGCCGUUGAAGCAUAGUGUUUUACAUAAAAGUUGACUUUUCGUUAUAUAUGCUCGCUAAAAUGGUGAAGGUCGGAUGCAGGCCAUGGAUGGAGGCGGAGGGGAUGGUGAUCUGUCGGGGAGAGGUAGAAAGGAAUCUCCCUCAAUUCCUUUUUAUUAGGGAAAAUGUAAUUGAUGAUCUUUAAUUAAGGCAAUAAUUUCUUGAUUUGGGAGCAAAUCUUAAGAUUGGCCAAUCACAAGUAGCAACACCUGCCGUCGCCAAGGGAAUUGCUUCCGAUAUAAGUUUGGAAUUACUAUUCCACUCUUCUUUCUGUAACAAGUUUGUUCCUAAGUGAGAGCAUAAUUAAUUAAAAUUUAAAUUUUAUUUUAAUAAUAGCAUUAAAUCUAUAAUUAAACUAACUAAUAUAUUUAAAUGAUUAUCUAUUGCUUAAAUAAUAAAGUGAUUAUUUAAUUUAUUACUUAUAAUUAAUUAGCUAAUUAAUUAUUAAUACCUUAAUGUGUUUAUCCAUAAACUAAUAUUUAUACUGAUCAAUCAUUAAUAUUUUUAUUAAUCUAGUUAAUUUUUUUUACUAAUUAUCUAACUAAAAUAAUUUACUAACUAUUUAAAAAUUUACAUUAUUUUUUAUAAUUAAUUAAUUAAUAUAUUUUUAUUAUCUUACAUAAUAUUCAUAUCUAAUAAAUUUAUUAAUUUAUUAAUUUAUUUUAAUUCAUAUUUUGAUGUUAAUUAAUUAAAUAAAAUAUUUUUAAUUUAAAAUAAUAACUUUUUAUUCCUCUUGUUCUAAUCUAACCAUCUAAACAUUAUUUAUCAUAUUCAUAGAAACAAACUCAAUUUUUUUUCAAACGCAAAAUUAGUGAAGUUCCUACUUACAUCUGAACUUAUACCUAUUCUUGAUUAACAGUUCUUAUUUAUACUCGAACCAAACAUGGUCUUGAUAGUGUUUAGUUCGGGAAUAAGGAGAAAAAAUAAGUCCUUAUUCUCUCCCUUUGUUCCCAAAUACUAUUUUCGGUAUCCGAAAAUUGUAGUUCUUCUAUUCCUGGAUUAGACUCCAGUAUAACUUAUGAAUAGUUGUUCCAUCCUCCCUCUUGGAACAAGCCUGUUUCCAAGUGGAAACGACGUCAAUUAAAAUCUAAUCUAAUUUUAAUUAUAAUAUUAAAUUAUUAAUUAAUCUAUUUAGGGCGUGUAGGUAUUUGGUAUGUGGGAGUCCCAUUCCAAUUCCGAUUCCCGAGUGGAAUGGGAAUUCCCUAAUCACCUUUUUUUCCAAUCCGGCAUAGGAGGCCGGAUUGGAAGUUCAAUCUGGACGGAAUGGAUAUUUAUUCUGAUUAAAUCUAUUUUUUUUAAUUUUUUUAAUUAAAAUAUGAGUUUAAAUUUAGAAAUUAAAUUUAUAAUUUUAAAUUUGAAUUUGAAUUAAAAAUUAAAAUUUAAUCAAGUAUUUUUAAUCUAACUUAUAAAUUUGAAUUUAAAUUAAAUUUUAAUUUAUAUAAAGUUUUAUUCAAAUUUUAUUUAAACCUCAAAUUAAAUUUAUAGAUUCAAAUUAAAUUUUAAGUUUGAAUUUGAAUAAAUCAAAAUUAUUUUUAAAUUUUUAAUUAUCCACUCAGCUUCAAUUUUUAAUUUUUUAAAAAAAAAUUUAAAAUUUUGAUGUAAAUUUUUAAUAUUUAAUUUUCAAAUGAAUUUAAGUUAAUAUAUAAAAUAAAUGUAGGUAUAUUAAUUUGAUUACGUUUUUUAUAUCUAUCUGAACCAAACACCGACAAUGGGAAUGAUUUAUUCCGAUUCCGAUUCAGGUAACAAACCAAACAGAAUUAGGUAAUGAGUUAUUCCGAUUCCGAUUCCAGCUUGUUUCGAUUCCUGAUUCCGAUUCCGACUUCGAACCAAUCGCACCCUUAAUGUAUUUAAGUCAUUACCUAUUCCUUAAAGGAAUUAAUUGAUUUAUUACUAAUUAAAGAUUAAUAUUUUAAUCAAUUUAUUCUAAUAUUUACAUUGAUCAAUCACUAAUAUUUUGACUAUUUAUCUAACUAAAAUAAGUUACUAACUAAUUAAAAAGUUAGGUUAUUUUUUUUAUAAUUAAUUAAUUAAUUAACUAAUAUUUAUAUUUAUUAAUUAUUAUAAUAUUCAUAGCUAAUAAAUUUAUUAAUUUAUUAAAUUUUUUUUAAUUAAUAUUUUGAUGUUAAUUAAUUUGAUAAAAUAUUUUUAAUCUAAAAUUAUAACUCUCAUUCUUCUUAUUUCAAUAUAACUAUCCAAACACCAUUUACCUUAUUUUCAAAAAUAACCUAAUUUUUAUUCAAAUAUAAAAUUGAUCUAGUUUAGAUUUAUAUCUCAAUUUGUAUUUCUGAAAUAAAUAAUUUUUAUUUAUAACCGAAGCAAAUGCAACGUAAAGGUGGAGGGCACCUGGAUGAUAUAAGCCACUGAAAGGCUAAUGAGAGUAUGAGACCAAGAUUAGAAGGUUCCAACAUCUAGAUGUAGGACAAGUGGACCCAUACUCUACGGACCAAUCUAUCAGGGCCAAAUCCUUUUGUACUCAAAUUCGGUAGGCCAAAAUUGUACUACUAGUCUACUAUACCAUAAUUAAGGUUAUUUUUGAAUAUAUAAAUAUCUUAUUUGGCAUAUUCUUCUAAUUUAUUUAAAAUAUAUAUAAUGAUCGGUAGAUCAUAACUGUGAUUGAAUAUUUAAAAUUGAUAUUUGAAGUAAGAUAAUUUACUUUUUAACUGAAAUAUACUGUCCUACUAAAUUAUAUAUGCUAAGAUUUUUUAAGGGACAAAAAUCAAACAUCUACUAAUUUUCAAUCAAAUAAAAAAAUAUAUAUACAAAAUAAAUUAAUAUUAAAUAUAUUAUUGAAUAUCUUAUUUCAAUAUCCAACGGAAUCCAAGGGAGAUGGCAAGUAUAUUUUAUUAUUAAUAUCAUCUUUGGCUUGGAAGAAUAGUUAUUAAUUAUUAGCAGCUUGUAUCUCUCAAAAAAAAUUAUUAGCAGCUUGUGUUGACUGGACAACCAAAAAUGCUCUUUUGAAAUGAGAUAUUACCAGAAUUUAGCUGAUAUUUUGGUUCUUUUCUACUGGGAUAGAAGACAUAGGCAGAAUCAAGAUAGCGGGGAAAUGAUUUAGAUUGAUAAGGAUAGGAGUAUCUUGAAUAUAGGUGACGCGGCUAAGAAAGGGAAGGCGAAGAAGAAGAUAAACUAAAAUUCAUGCCCAAUUUGAUAUCAUUUGCCUAGGAAUCGGGUGCUCACUACUUUGCCACAUAUCCUGAUUAACACCAACCAAUUUUUACCAACUGUCCCUAGAGCAAGUGGCAAAAAGUUUGGUAGUUGGUAUCUGAGGUCCCAAGUUCGAAUUCUAGUUGAUUCAUAUUUCUAACUAAGUUUAUUUCUAAGUAAAAUAAAUGAAGUCCUUUUUUUUAAAAAAAAAGAAAAAAAAAUGAUACCAACCAAUUUUUUGUCUGCCUAGGUGAAUAAGAAGAAUUUCUUCCCAAGCCUUGAGAUCCUAUUAUUAUGUUCAAUAAAUAAUUGGUGCAAAAGAAUGAUACAUAUAAUUUAACCAAAAAAUGAAAUAUAAUGUUUGGUUCAGAACUACUGUUCAAACCGAAAUAUUUUUUUAAAAAAUAUCUGGUUUCAUAUAAAGUGCAUCUUGACCAUAUAUUCCAGUUUUACACAUUUUAGUUUCUAAAUUUUUUAUAUUAGAAAUUAUUUUUGAUACUCUUUUUUUUUUUAGUGAAACCAAACAUGACUAUAACAAUGAAUAAUCAAUCUAGUUCUCCCUCUACCAACCAAUUAUUUACCCCAGCUCCCAUGCAAAAUAUAUAUAUAUAUAUAGUUGAGUUAGGAUACUUAUAAAAAUAUCAAGAGAUUGGUGCUUCUAGAUUUGUAGCUUUUUUUUUUUUUAGAGAGAUAAGUAGCACGCUACCCGCCUCGUUUAUUUCAUUUAGAAAUGAACUUAGCUAGAAAUGUGAAUCAACUAGAAUUUGAACUUGGGUCUCGGAUACCAACCACCAAGUCCUUUGCCACUUGCUCUAAGGACGGCCGGUUAAAUUUGUAGCUCUUGAAUGGAGGUGUCGUAGGGUUAGGAUGAUAAUAGCCUACUUGAGUUAAGUGGUGGUAGGUGAUAUAGUAUUUGAUCCAAUAACUACUAUUAGUCAAAGAAUUGAUCUAAGAGUUAGAAAUUUAAAAACACUAAUAGAUUGGUAUUUUUAAAUAUAUAUAUAUAUAUAGAGAGAGAGAGAGAGAGAGAUUGACUGGACUACAAUCGGUAGUAAACUGCUCGGUUUACUACCGAUUUAUUUUUGAUGAUAGAGCUUCCAAAUCGACGAUCGGCACUGUUGAACAUGAUCUAAACCAUUUAAAUUAUUUAGAAAUCAAAUUUCAUGAUUUUUUGGCAUCACUAACUGAACGAUUAAAGGGUCACAAAAUCUAUAAUUUUAAUGGCCGAUAUGGUGCGUUUGCUCAUUUAACGGUAUGGAAGAGUUCAAAUCAACUAAAUUUUUGUUAAAAUUUUUUUUAAACUAUUUAAAAUAAGAUCUAGACUCUAGAUCUCAAAUAUAAAAAUUGUAUCAUCACUUUUUGAAGGAUAUUCAUUUCCGGCCAUUCAUUUUUCUGUUCACUUGAUGAACAAGAGAAUAAUAUCGAAAAUGUGUGAAAUUUGAUUUUCAGAUAGUUUAAAUAGUUUAGAUCAUGUAUAACGGUGCCGAUCACCAAUUUGGAAGCUCUAUCAUCGAAAAUAAAUCGAUAGUAAACCGCGCCGCUUACUACCGAUAGUAUUCUAGCAAAACUCUAUAGGCGUGUUUGGUUUGAAGUCGGAGUCGAAAUCGGAAUCGGAAUCAAAAUAAGCUGGAAUCGGAAUCGGAAUGACUCAUUACUUAAUUCUGUUUGGUUCAUCACCUGAAUCGGAAUCGAAAUAAAUCAUUCCCAUUGUCGGUGUUUGGUUCAGGUGGAUAUAAAAAACGUAACCAAAUUAAUAUACUAAUAUUGUCUUUAUGAUAUAUUAAUUUAAAUUCAAAUUAAAAAUUAAAUAUUAAAAAUUUACAUCAAAAUUUUGAAAUAAUGUCAAAAUUUUAAAUCUAUUUUUUUUAAAAAAAAUUAAACUUUGAAGUUGAGUGGAUAAUUUAAAAUAUGAAACUAAAUUUUGAUUUAUUCAAAUUCAAAUUUAAAAUUACAAUUUAAAUUUUAAUUUGAAUACAUAAAUUUAAUUUAAGUUUGAAAUAAAAUUUGAAUAACAUUUUAUAUAAAUUAAAAUUUAAUUUAAAUUCAAAUUCAUAAGUUAGAUUCGAAAUACUUGAUUAAAUUUUAAUUUUUAAUUUAAGUUCAAAUUAAAAUUUAAAAUUAUGUAGUUAAUUUUUAAAUUUUAACUCAUAGUUUAAUUAAAAAUUUUGAAAAAAUAAAUUUAAUCGGAAUAAAUAUCCAUUCCGUCCGGAUUCAACUUCCAAUCCGGCCUCCUAGGCCGGAUUGAAAAAAGAGGUGAUUGGAGGAUUCCCAUUCCACUCGGGAAUCGGAAUCGGAAUGGGACUCCCGCGUACCAAACAACGACAAACGGAUUCAUCCAUUCCGAUUCUGAUUCCAGAGUGAAAAAGAAGCGAACCAAACACGCCAUAUAUAUAUAUAUAGUCCGGUUGGAUUAUUAUCGAUAAUACGAAGCAUUUGAUAGCUAUAUAUAAUCCGGCUGAAAUAUUAUCGAUAACACGAAGCAUUUGGCGCUAUCAAGUUUUCUGCCGUUAGAUUUGCCUCUUUUAUCAUUUUCAUCUGUUCGAUUAUACUAUUCAACUAACCACCCACUCAACCCAAGGAGACCCACAUCAUUCUAACCGCACAUCUUUUAAUUUAAGAGCAGAAAACUUAAUAGCACAAAGUUAUUUGUGCUAUUAAUAGUAUUCUAGCAUAGUUAUAUAUAUAUAUAUAUAUAUAUAUAUAUAUAUAUAUAGAGUUCGGCUAUGAUGCUUGUAAAAGUACCAACUAUUUAGUGCUUGUAAAUUUUUUACCGUUAGAUCUACGCCUUUGAUCAUUUUCACCCGUUAGAUUAUACUAUUCAACCAACCACCCACUCAACCCUAGGGGGCAUCAUUCACUUAAGCCGCACAUCCCUUCAAUCCAAGGCGUUAAAAAAAUCUAACAACACCAAUGACUUGGUACUUUUAAAAGCAUAGGAGCUCAAUUACCAAUUAUAGUAAUUAUAUAUAUAUAUAUAUAUAUAUAUAUAUAUAUAUAUAUAUGGCGCGUUUGGCUUACAUUCUGGAAAAGUAAUUUUUGCAGAAUUGAUUUUGAUUUGGAGAAGUGAUUUUGGAUAGAAACUGUAGAGUGUUUGUCUGCGUUUAGAUAAAAGCGAUUUUUUCUGAAGUAAUUUUGUAAAUCUGUUAGGCAACUUUUUUUUGAUAUUUGCAAAAAUUAAUAUUUUUAUUAAACUUUAUUUAAAAUAAUUUAAAAUUUAAAUUUGAAUUAAAAUUAAAAUUUUUAAAUUUCAAAAUUGUACAAAAUUUAAAAUAUCAUAUUUUAAUUUAAAAAAUAAUUUUAAAUUAAAUUUUUAAUUUUAAAAUUUUGAAAUUUAUAAUUUGAAGAUUAAAACUUGUAAUUUUAAAUUUUAAAGUUUAAAAUUUUUAAAUUUAAAUUUUUAAAAUCUAAAAUGUCAAGUUUGAAAUUUUAUCGUAAAUUUUAGAUUUGAAAUUUGGAAUUUAAAAUUUAAAAUUUAAAAUUGUAAAAUUUGAGAUUUGAAAUUUAAAAUUUAAAAUUUAAAGUUUAAAAUCUAAAUUUUAAAUUUUAGAUUUGAAAAGUUGAAAUUUAAAAAUUGAAAUAUGAAUUUAAAAUUUUAAAUUCGAAUUAAAUUUAAAUUUAAACUUUGAAUCUAAAAUUAAAAUAAAAGCUUAAUGUUUGAGUCCAAAAUCGGAAUCAGAUUUAAAGAAUCAGCUUUUUUCUAUUUCUAAUUCUGUGACAUUUAAGAUUAAUUUUCUAAUUUUAAAAAAUAAAAUCAGAUUUUCUAGUACUUGCUAAAAAUGUUCUACUGAACCCAAAAUUAUAUUUGAAUUUAGAAUCAUUUUUCACUAGUAGGGCCAAACACCUUUGAGAUAGUCCCAAGAGGAGAGUGGACAUUAAUAAGAGACACCACCAUCUGAGGCCCACCCAUCCCUCGUCCUCUGCUCCACUACCAGCCUCUGUCUCCCUCUUGUCUCCCCUUGAGAGGGAUUUCGAAAAAGCUUGGAUGGACACAGCAGUAGCUUCGCUCAAGCUAUAUGACUCCAUUGAAUUAAUUUGAGAGAAAGAGAUAUAUAUAUAUACAUAGCUCGCAAAAAACACAACCCAGUGGGGAGAGAUCUCAUUCAUUAUGUGCUAGACUAGAUAUGUACAAUCCCAAGUGUGUAUGUAUGUAAUCUUCAGUGGUUAGCACCCAAAUUUGCAUCGAGUUCCAUCAAUCCUUUCGCUUUUGUUUACACAAAAUAUUAAAUUUGAUGAUGGGGAUUCGGAUCCAUGUGGCCACUAUUUGCGCAUUGCGCCCGCUGUUGCGAGGAGAGGUGAGAGGUGAAGAUCCCGGCCAGCCCUAAUGGUCCAGUCACUUGUGGAUCGCAACUCUUUUGUGCAUAGUCAAGGUCGAGUGGGUUUAAUUAAUUGAUGGGAGAAAGGCACAAAUAGAGGAGCCAUAGCCACAAUGCCACAUCCCAUUUCCAGCCCAAAAGAGGACACCCCACAUGAAGUGGGGGCCAAUUAAGAUACGGGGGAGGGGGAGCGGGAAAUAAAACACCAAGUUGGGAGUUAAUGCUCUCCCUUCAAUCAAACAAAUUGAUCGAUCUCUCUCUCUCUCUCUCUCUCUCUCUCUCUCUCUCUCUCUCUCUUUCUCUCUCUCUUAUUGGUGUCUCAAUCCUAGGAGGGUGUGGCAAAUUGAUCUCUCCCUCUCUCUCUCUCUCUCUCUCUUAUAUUUGGUGUCUCAAUCCUAGGAGGGUGUGGGUGGCUUCGGGUGAGCUGUUGUAUGUAAAUUUAGGUGCAUGGCCCAUCCCGGGUUAGGUGCCGCACUCGGAAAUUAACCUCACCAAACACCGACAAAUGAAAUACCCAACUCACUGUUUUGCAAAUGAAAAGCCCCAAUUAUUUUGUUUCAUUCCUUUCUUCUUUUCUAAUUUUUUUUUUUUUAAGAAAAAAGAAAUUUGACCCCAGUUAUUUGUUGCACGAGCUAGGCAUCUGCAGGUAGGAUCCUUGGAAGCUCUCUGAAUUCAAAAUCCUUGGAACCCGGAGAAGAUGAUGGAUCUUUCAGGAUGCUGGAGAUCAUGAAUUCGAUAUAAUAAUCCCGUUUGUUUGGUACUCAUGGAUCUAGUAAGACCAACUAAUUAAACUCAUUCGGACUCUUUGACUAUGUUUUUAGAAAAUAAUAAUAAUAAUAAUAAUAAAUGCAUAACGCGGUUUUUUUUUUAGGGGAUAUAUAAUCAUAUAUAACCAUUAUUACCUGUUUUCUUUCGGUUAUAUGCAUGUGAAUGUGCACUAAUGAAAUGAGCCAGCUGUUUUGGCCUAAAUCUAAAUACAUUCUAGCGUUCUACGUGAAUAUGAUACUAAGAAAGAUUCAAGCAAUUUUACCUGGGGCCAAAAAGAAUGAGGAGCCGUAGCAUUUACCCAAAUUCCACUGAUCUAAUUUCGAUAAACACACUCUACACUCCGUAGUGAAUUUAUCCCUUUGAGCUAUGUAGUAUUCUGAACAUUACCUCAUAUCUAUAUAUAUAUAUAUAUAUAUAUAUAUAUAUAUAUAUAUAUAGUGUAGAGCUACUCUGCUAUCAGAAGUAUAGAGGGUUUUAUACUUCCGACUUUUUGACCUUUAAAUAAAAAAUCGUACAGUUGGGAUGAUUGCGAUUUCCCCUAGGAUUGAGUAGUAUCCCUAGGGUUGAGUGGUCCCCACAAGGUAAUANGCAUUUACCCAAAUUCCACUGAUCUAAUUUCGAUAAACACACUCUACACUCCGUAGUGAAUUUAUCCCUUUGAGCUAUGUAGUAUUCUGAACAUUACCUCAUAUCUAUAUAUAUAUAUAUAUAUAUAUAUAUAUAUAUAUAUAUAUAUAUAUAACAUUAACGAGAGUUACACUACAUAUAUAGGACAGUGCUGCAUGCUGCAUUGUUUCGCACACAUUUGCUAAUUAAACGGUAGCAUAAGGCAGCUAGGGGGUCACAAAAUGAAGAAAACGAGCACAAAGGGGAAAUUGACCAUCAGAAGAACAGCAUGCUUGUAAAUGAUCAUUUUAACCACAGUUUUAAUUACAUUUCAGCGAUGUUAAAUAAUAAUAAAAAUAAAAACUACAUGUGCCGACACUAACGCCCUCGUUAGUAAUCAUCCUGAGGUCAUUCUCUGGAGAUGGAACUCUGGUAACAAUUUUACUGUCAAAUCAGUGUACUCACUCUUCAGGACAAGGGAUGUUAAAGAUAUAGUAACGCCUGCUAUUUGGAAGCUGAAAAUUCCGACAAAAGUUAAAAUCUUUCUUUGGUUAUCCUUAAAAAAGAGAUUACCUACUGUGGACAAUCUGAUUAAAAGGGGUUAGUUGGUCGGAAAACAACAUAUGUGUCUUAUGUGCCGACACUUUAGAAUGUGCAGAUCAUCUGUUGGUGGGAUGUGUUGUUAGCAGAUUCCUUUUUAUUUCCCUCCUUGAUGUCCCUCACGCUCUUACCUCCAUGGAGGAUGUCAAUACCGUUUGGGAGGCGCCGGCAAGGAUGGGGGCACAGGGCGACACCGCAUUGACCUCGAUUCUUGUGGCGACCAUUUGGUAGACGAUUUGGUGCGAGAAAAAUAAUGUUAUUUUUCGGAACCUCCAAAUGGAUGCUAUCUCUUCUGCUCGCCGUAUUGGACUUUUGGUGAAGGAGUGGGCGGAGUUCUGUAGAGUUGGGUGAAGCUGGUAAAGCUGGUGUUAGUCAUAUCCUCCGUUUUCGUUGCUUUUUUUGUUGCUAUCUCUUUUUCUAUACUAGGUUAUUCUUUUUUUGUUACUUUUUCUCCUGUUUUUUCGCUCUCUCGAGGUCUCGACUGUCUCACUCUAUGUAGUUUAAUUCAUUUUCUUUAUGAAUGAAACAGGUAGCAUACUACCUUUCUCUCUCUCUCUCUCCCUCUCAAAAAAAAAAAAAAAAAAAAAAAAAAAAAAAAAAAAACUACAUGUUAGCUCGCUUCCUGUCGCACCUGUCAAAGUGGCCACUCGGGGUCCCUCCUCCAUUCUCUACGGACAACGAAACGACGCUCCCUGAUUCUGAUAUUUUCCGAGAAACCUGAACACAAAACAAACCCCGAAACUCCCUAGCGAACGACCCAUACCUGUAUAAUACCAAUCGACGUUUGGUAAGGGGCAAAAAAAACAAAAAAGAAAAAAAGAAAACAAAAGAAAACAAACAAUCAAACAAAUAAAAAGGAAAUUAGAGUACCAAAAACAAGGAUUAAUUAAUUAUUACAUUAAACAAACAAAAGCAGUAUUGAAAUAUACGCGUACGAACGGGAGUGUGAAUGGGAAUUGAGCGAGUCCCUUGCCUAACCAUCUACCUAACAACCGUACCUACCCGUCCUAGUCAAUUUGAUGCCGAGUGAUCUUUAUGAGCUGUAACCAUGAUUUCCGGUCCUUGCCAUGGACCCAUCCGCGACUAACCCCUCGGAACUCGAAACUUGGAACUCUAAUUUGGAAUAUUUCCCCUUUUAACGCUAGCUAGUUUAUAAUUUUACAAACGUAUAAUAAUUGUUUAUCGUGCCAAACUCAUCAUCAUAACGAUCGAGAUUCACUUCUCGAUCCUGAUAAGAUUAAUUAAUAAACCCGGCCUAUUUAAUUUAGCUCGUACGGUUGCAAGGAGGUGCUUGACAAAACUAAGCUACCUAGCUAGCUAGCUAGCUAACACUCGGGCUCAGCAAGCGGUUGGGUUCGAACCGAGUUUAAUUCCGAUCGAGCUCAACUGGGAGCCAUGCCCAUGCAGGCUAUACCCGAUCAAUGAUAUAAAUGAGAUGGGAAAGCUGGACCAACAGUGGACCAUCUCUUACUUUCAUUAGCUGAUGUGCACGGUAAUAUAUAUAUAUAUAAAAUAUAGGAGAUGAUAUACACAGCAUGCAUGUAAACUAGCUAAGAAAUUAAAGAUAUGAACAAUCCAGAUCGAGCCUUUCAAUUUUCAAAUAAUUCGCAGUCGUUACGACCGAACCAAAUGCGUUUGGCAUCUCGACACAAGUGAUGUUGUGCAACAAACCUAUGGCAAUCCAGGCCAUUAAUUAGCCCUGACGACUAGUUGAGCUCAAAUUAUUAAAGCAUGACAAAACCAUCUCAACUAAUUAUUGCGACAAUUCUUUAGCGCUCCGCGGAACUUCCACUACACUAACCACUACUUGCAGGCUGCUAAAUUUCUAAAAUUCAACACUUAAUUACUAGCUACAUUGACCUCUCUCUCUCUCUCUCUCUCUCUCUCUCUCUCUCUCUCUCUCUCUAUAUAUAUAUAUAUAUAUAUAUAUAUAUUAUAAUGAAGAAUUCUGAUGCGCGACACUGUAACUGUGAUUUGAUUUGAUCAGCUGCAAUCGUAUAUUUUGCACUAGAACUGGCGGGAGUGGCAAUAGGUUGAUCUUUUCGCUAUUUAGCCGCAACAAUGAUAAGAACAUCUCAGGCUGACAUACAUCGAUCUUAUUUCCUUCACCUAAUAUUGAAGGUGAUGCUAAUGAAAGAGCGCACAAUGCAAAGGAGUUAUCCGAUCUCGUUAAAGAGUCGGCAGCUUGCGUGACUCCUAUUCUUUUUUCUUUUUUUUUUUUUCUGAGAGACAGCUAGGUAGUAUGCUAUCUGCUUCGUUUAUUUUAUUUUAAAAAUAAAUUUAGCUGAAAAUGUGAAUGAACUAGAAUUCGAAUUUGGAACCUCGGAUACCAACUACCAAAUUUUUUGGAAUUCGAAUUUGGAACCUCGGAUACCAACUACCAAAUUUUUUGCCACUUGCGCUAAGGACGGUUAGUCGUGACCACUAUUUUUGAGUAGAACUAGCUGUUUGAAAGUAGCCAUAGCAGCUUUCUCAUAUUGUCGACCACCGUAGCAAUGUUUUGAAAGUCCAGAAUAAUAUCAGAUAGAAUAGUGCUAUGCUAGAGUCUGGGAUGACAUGGCUCAAAAGAUGUGGCUUGUCUAUACUCUAUACUUGAUAGCAAAAGCUAGCUUAUCGGUGUGAGGUAUUCGAUCAGAUCCCACUUUUACUAGUGGGUUCCUAAGAAUUAAUCCAUCAGAGCUUUUCCAGUGCACAAACUGAGCCACUCGUGGGCUUGGUUACUGUCGAAUCCAUCCACCCAAGAUGCCUGCUAAUAUUUGCACGCAACUCAUGAUCUCUUUCAAAAUGACUUCUCAUCCUGCUACGGCCUAAUGUCUUAUCUUAAUCUAUCUCUCUCUCUCUUUCUCCUUUUUUUUUUUUUUUGUUCCUUCUUUUUUUCCCCUAAUACUGGGGGGACCGCAUUUGGUAGGCCAAUUUAACCUAGGUCGAUACGAAAAUUCGGAGUGCGACAUGGCACCCUCCUCUGAGUUAGGUGCGCAUCGGCAUGACGCUUUCACGCGCGCGAAGGUGCCCACCUAAUUUUGUCACCCCCGCUCUUUCCUCUGACGUUUUUUUUUUUUUUUUUUUUUUUUUUUUUUUUUUUUUUUCUCUCUCGCUCUUCUUUCGAAAUAAGCUUGAAUUGGAGCUGUAGAGAAUGGGCGUAGUGAUGAUAUAGAGGAUGUAGCUGGACGGGCUUGUUCGUUCAAAGAAAAGCAGAAGAGGAAAAUGAAAGUGAUUAAGAGAGAGAGAACACCGAAGAGAGAGGGAGGGAGGGAGGGAGGGGGUAGGUGUCAAUUCGUUAGGAUCCGUAAAGUUGGUCUUUGUAACGUGAAUUUCAUGUAAGAAAAAAUACCUUCCAAUAAAAGAAAGCUACACAUCAUGCAUCAUCCUAAGCAAGAGGAGACAUUUUUCGUAAAUCUGAUUUCAGUACCGAGAGAUAGAUUCAUUUAAUGUGGUGUUAUUAACCGAUUCGAUUCGAUUAAUUUAAUAUCAUCCCUUUUGAAGCAUGUAUUUGAAAUUAUCUAUCAAAUUGUCCUUAAUAAGUCAGGCAUCUCUCCCUAUUUAUAAGAUCUGAAAGGACUCGCUCUCUACGCCGCGCUGUCAUAGUAGGUCGAAUUCGCCAAUCUUAAAAGAGAGGAAGAUGUCCCGUGAUUGCGACCUUGGCAAAUCUAAGAUACGAACCCAAUAAUUUGGCCUUGGAUGCAUCCUAACAUCGCAUAGUUCCUAGCUGCUGUUAUUUGGCCGUGGGGCACGCAAGUCGCUCGGAAGAUUCCAAACUUUGGGUUCAAUCCCUUGGUUUGGUCGCCUGCCCGAUACUAUUAGUCAAACAAAGUAAUAGUAGCCUUUACUUUCUCUAAUUUUCUUCUUGUAAACCUCUGUUUAUCUGUCUCCGUACGAUCUUAUUGAACCCAGAAGAAUUGCAAGAUACCUAAUUUCUUUUUCUUUUUCUUUUUCUUUUUCUUUUUUUUUUAAAAAAAAAAAGAAGAAAAUUGCCGGGAGAACCACUAAACAAUAAAGCGCUGCUGUUGGAACGGACUGGGCCAGCCGGCCCAUGAAAAGCCUUUCGGCCCAAGGCCGGAAGAGUAACGUGGGUACAGCGUCGGACCUUCUGGUGCCCGAUUGCAGGAGCCAGGCCUCGGUCAUGGGUCAUGGGUCAUGGGUCAUGGGUGUGGCCCCAGAGGAGGCUGCCAUUGGGAUGGGCCGUUCACUGGGCCAUUACCUCCCCACUAAAUGCAUGUUGCUCGACGUCUCUAGAUGCUGCGUGGCCUGUCAGCGGGUGCCGAUCAUUUUCUCAUGGGCUUUUUUUGCAUUUAGCCCUCCGAAGAAUUUUUAUUUUAAAAGUCGCCCUAUCAAAAUUUAAUUUGCAAAAAUAGCCCUACUCCUGCCACGCAAGCGCCACGUCAGCGCCAUGCGGGCGGGGCUGGGGAUGGUAGUUAAGUUAAACACGGUAGACACGGUGAAUGAUUCACCGUGUUUAGUACGUAUUUUUUGUAGAGGAAUAGGAAGUUAGGGAUGUUAAUGGGGUAUGGAUAUUCAAAAUAUUAUUCGAAUCUAAACCCGAAUAAAUUAUUUUAUAUACAUAAUUUAUUUUUAUUUAUUUAUACAAUAUAUAAAAUAUUCAAUAAUUUUUAUUUCUUAGAUCUUCAUCCAAUCCAACGGUAUAAAAUAUCUAAUAAUUUUAAAAAUCUAUACCAUUGGAUUGGAUGAAGAUCUAAGAAAUAAAAAUUAUUAGAUAUUUUAUAUAUUGUAUAAAUAAAUAAAAAUAAAUUAUGUAUAUAUAUAAUUUAUACGGAUAGGUUCGAAUAAUAUUUUGGAUAUCCAUACCCCAUUAACAUUCCUAACUCUCUAGAAAAAAUACGUACUAAACACGGUGAACUAUUCACCGUGUUUGAACACGGUGAAUGGUUCACCGUGUUUAACUUAAUACACUGGCCCAUGCCCAACCCACGUGGCGCUGACGUGGCACCUGCGUGGCAGGUGCAAAGCCAUUUUUGCAAAUUAAAUUUUGAUAGGGCUAUUUUUAAAAUAAAAAUUUACUAGGGGACUAAAUGCAAAAAAAACCCUUUUCUCAUUCUCUCACUAAUUCUUUUCUUUUUCUUUUUCCUUUUCCUUGUUUUUCUGGGGUGGGGUUGUAAAAGUGUAUAGCUCUCACCGAAAAAUAUAACCUGUUUUGAUAUGAGUGUCUGAGCUUUAAGAAAAUUAAAUUCGUUCCGUGAGAUCCUGAAUUCCAUUCCCACCUUUGACACUUAAUGUGUUAAAUUUUGCAUUAUAUAAUGGAUUAAAUUCUCAACUCCUACCUCAUCUUUCAAACAGUAAAACCAACACACUGUUAUGACCCAUAUCAGAUAAAUGACUGAGGUACUGAAAAAAAAUGUAGUAUUAUACUACACUUAUUUGGAGGCAUGUCCUUUUGGAUCAGUUAAUGGCUAAUAUUCUUGGUUGCAGAUAUGAAAAAGAAAAAAAAUACAGUAAUGAAUAUGGCAGCCACUAUUCGUAUCCAACGGCUCAAUUGUUUUCUUUUUUCCUUCUUCGACUAAGAUUGAUGGUUUUGUAGUAGUUAAUAGACUGACCUGCCAGACAUUUUCAAAUGAUGCAACUGUUAGAAAGCACGAACCCAAAAAAAAAAAAAAAAAAAAAAACACCUCUGCAAAAUCAUGCAACUCCAGUAAAAGGUUCUUCAGAAAUGUAACUUCAGACAAGCUUUAAUUAUUAUUAUUUCAGCAGAAAAUUCCUUGAAGCGAGCCUUCGUGAGUUAAUAGAAUAUCAGACAGGAUGAUUUUUCAGAUUUAGAUCCUUCAUUUGUAAUGGAAAAUGAAUUGCUAUAACCAUGAAAAAAUAAAGCAAAAAUAUACCUUUCAUUCAGGUAUCCUUGUAAAAUAUUAAUGACGACAAGCCUGACAGAAGACGGCGGUAUCUGCAAAACAAUUGCAGAACAUAGGAGCAACUUACCAAAAGAAGCAAGAGUUGCAACAUUCGGAAGAAAAUUUACCAAACAAAAAAAAUCUAAAGGAAUCCUCCCAAAGGACCCAAACCUAACACAAAUAGAAUGCGGUGUAUCUUUACUUAGGUUCAUCGCUGCUCCAAGCAAUUUUGAAAGAAUCGGUUCCCCUGUACACAACAAUCUCAUUUAGUUCGCUUGGAUGCAAAGUAAAUUUGCUUGUUAAGGGAAGAGGCAAUUAUGUCUGCACCUUGAAAGCAAAAGUGAUGUCUGAACUGUCAAUUUGUAAUGUUACUCUCUUCAAUUUAUCUUCUUUAGACUUCCCCAGUUUGAGAAGUCCCUGCAUUGGAAUUCGUACCAUCACAAAUCUACUGCAUUGAAAAAAAAAAAAAAAAAAAAAAAAAAAAAAAAAAACCCUGCAGUUAAGCAUGUGUUUUGACCUGGUCGUUCAGCACUGUGCACAUGUUAGUGAACUCUAGCGUUCCCGCAGCAGGGACAUGAGCAGAUUUGCAAAUUUGUACAUACGAUCUGUUUAGCUGUGUUCCAUACAGUAAUUCAGUUUUAAGAAAACCGUGUCAGAAUUUGAAAGAAGAGAAAAAUGAUUGUACUAAGUGAAAAUAUCAUGGAAUACAGAGUACUUGUGUGCUGAAAUAUAUUUUUUAAAAUUGUUUUAUCUCAUCUAAGAUUUCAAAGGCAAUAUAUUGAAGGGAAGCAAAUUUACCUCCCCUAGAGUUGUAGCAUUCUUCUUAAACUGCUGAAAAAAAUUCACCAAGGCACAUAAUAUUAUCUGCAGAUGGAAAAAUAUAAAUAAGCUAUUUUUGUAUGGAAAACAGGAAAAAAAAAAACAAAAAGUCUAGUAGUACCCGCUUGAUAGCCUAGACAGUUGGUUCUACAAACCUAGAAAAUCACAAAAAUAUUAACCACAUUCCAUCAGGUGUUCCCCAGUUUGCUCACAGGAAAUAGAGAUUCCGCAUAGUGUUCAUGUAAUCAUUCAAUGGGAUGCCGUAAGUGACUUAGUCAAAUGAAGUUGCAAUUGACUAUGGUCAGUGGACCUAGUAAGUGGACUGUUCAAUAUUCUUAUAUAGUUCUGCUAACUGCAAUUCCAUGUUUCAUGAUUUGUUUUUUUUCCUUCGAAAUAUGUUGUUAAAUCUAGUUAUGCUGUCAAUUGGUUUGCAGCUGAAAAUAAUUCUACUGCGGUAAUAACCGAUUACUUGUCGAUGUCAGACAACUCUUAUAGACCAUCUUGGCAUAGUCAAGCAAAAGACAGAAAUUCUAUGAUGUUUAGUCCUCAAAAUUACCUGUUGGUGUUGUGGAAGAGAGUGUAUGGUAUUUAUAACAGUGGACUUGAAUGCCUUUGAUAUAGCAAUAUCCAUAUGAUCAAAUGUGACCUGCAAUGGAUUUCAAAGUAGUGUAGGAAACCACAAUUUCAAAUAUGUUACUAUUUCAGAAACAAUAUGGUCUGCAAUAAAUUUCAAAUAUGAGCAUGGUGUAGCAAAAUUAUUUGAUCUUUUAGUGUAGGCCACAACCAUUAUCUUGGAAUGAAGUAAAAGAUAAUGUUAGAAGAUCUGCUGUACUAUAUGCAAGCCAUUGUUUUCAGUUUCUGACACAGAAAUUAGCAGAUCUGCCAAAGAAGUGUGAUAAAACUAAGAAUGUGGUGCUAUUUGUUAUAGAGAAGAAGAACAUUGCAAAGUAAUACGAUUUUCUGAUGCAUUAUACAAAAUGACAUGAAGAUUCAGUGUGUAGCUCUUCAACCCAACUUCAGUUACGGUUAUUAAUGUUUGAUGUAAAAAUUAUUCAUAGGCAAUGAAGAACUGGACAAUCCAACUUACAAUAUUACAUUGUCCUUGUUUUGAAGGAUCUCUUAGCUCUUCUUCAAGCACCUCUAUUGCGCUCCUGGAAUGAGGUAAAAUGAUAAACCAUUUAGGCGUUAAAUCUGAUGAGUGGCAUGAAUUAUGGAACAUGAAAUUGCUUGGUCAGUUAGUCAAUUUGCCUUUAAUGUGAAACUGUAAUAUAUCAGUUUCACCAAUUGUCCAAUGUAUUCAAGGUAAAGAUGGUUAGAAUAGUGUUGAACUCCAAUGUGGAUAAUUAUUCAGAUUGUGCGGGACAUAAUUUGCAAGCUCAAAGAAGCUCCUGUCCGAAUUCAACAAAAAGUUUAGGCCAUAAUUUGUAAUUUAUAACUUUUAAUGAAGUUAUCGACCGUCCCUAGCGCAAGCGGCAAAGGGCUUGGUGGUUGGUACCCGAGGUCUCAAGUUCGAAUCCUAGUUGAUUCACAUUUCCAGCUAAGUUUAUUUCUAAAUGAAAUAAACGAAGCGGGUGGCAUGCUGCCUAUCUCUCUCAAAAAAAAACUUUUAAUGAAGUCCAUUGAGAAAACUUGGCAGGCAUUAGUUAUUGGUAGUGAAGACCCUCAAAUCAAUAAGAGGUAAAGUAACAGUUAAAUAAAAGUGCUAUUUGCAUUAACACUAUUACCUGCAAACACCAAGUGCUCUUCUCAUAUCUCCUGAGGCGGCUGCAACUUUCUGUAGUAAUCAUGAAAUAUCAAAGAAAGCAAUAUCAACGCAUGCCUGAGGACUAAACUCACAUGAUUAUGAAUACACAUCCUAGAUACAGACCAUAACAGAUACUUAUAAUUUGAUACAUUCAACUGAGGUUUGAUACUGCAAUGAAAAAUCAACUGAAGGAAUAAAAUUUUUGAAAAGUAACCGAGGAACUAAAAUAUGUUUAACAUCUAGCAAUCAAUUAAUUUUGGAAAACCCUAAUUCACUGUAGAAAAAAUAGUAAGCAGUUUUAAAAUUUUAGCGGUAGAGGCUAGCAAAUGGUGUAGGUUGUGAAAACCUCCUCCUAGGAAGUUGCCGAUUUUUUAAUUCAUCUGAAAAAAUAGAUAGAAUUCAACAUGAAAAUCCUACUUUUCCAUAUGGGCUUAUUAUCUGAGCAAGUAUACUGCAAAUAGAUGAGUUUUAAAUUGAAUCGCACUUAGGAAUCAUCAGAGGCGUAAUGGGCUAAUCACAACAUUUGAGUCAGUAAACGUAAAAUGAGAAUUAACAAAAAUUGAAAAAAUUGAGAUGAACUUACUCUAGCACAAAAUUCAAGAGCUAAAGGUUGGAAAACAUCAUAUCCAAGUACCUGCAAAAAGGUAUAAUUACUGUUAAGAAAAUUCUACCACCUUGAGAAGUAAAAUAGCAACAAAUUCUAUCUCAAGUAAACUAGCAAAUAUAAGUUUAAGAGUUUUUCAGCUAUAACAAGAGAAACUAUGAGCAUGAGAAUUACCAUAAGCCUCUGCUGAAUAAUUUUGAGUAUCUGAUCUUUCAAGUAAGCAUGGAAGGUUAUAACAAGAGGUUUACCUGCCAGAAGAUUAAGGGGAAUGUCAAGACCAUAGUUUGCAGUAAUUUUUUUGAAUGGUAUAAUUCAAGUAAUUUAAGAUACAUGGAUCAGCCUUCUGAUCAACAAUAUCCAGAUCGCAACAAGUUGUGGAUAAAGAGGAAAAUAGGAAAAGAAGAGUAAUAGCUUCUCAGCAUCUUACCAGAAAUUUAAGAUGAAGAAAAGGUUUGAGUACUCACAGUUUAAUGAUUCAAGCUUCGGAAGAAAUCGAUCUGCUAGGUCUAUAGCAUUUGCAAUUCCUUCGCAGAAAAAGCAAUAGUACUAAGAAUGAUUCAAAUAUCUGAAAGUUGCUAUAAAAAGAAUCCUAUGAAACUAGAUAGAUACUCCACGAGUAAGAAAUGAUAAUGAAGAGAGAGAAACUCACAAAUUUUACCUAUUAAUAUACAUCGGGAAAAUGGGAAAGUUGUAAGCAUGAAAAGAUUGUGAAGUACAGCUCUAUCUUUAGUUAUCAAGUAAUCCAUCUCAUCAACAACAAUCAGAUAUUUGAAUAAAAAAUGCCAUAUAUAUACAAAAAAAAAAAAAAAAAAAAGAGUUGUUCUAAAUAUCUAUUAAAGUGCUAGGGCGCUUGUAAAUCGAACAGUAAAGCACAAAAUGUAGGAUAAAAUUCUCACAUCAUCCUUCUGGGAGAUGAAUGACUCUGAGAAAAUAAACUCUGAAGAUGUUGAAGGGAUGAGAAACUACUAUUUGUCUUCAUCCGAGGGUAGAGCUUUGCAAGAAUCUGGAAUCAAAAGUUAUCAUUAGCAAUAAGACGGUUUAUACUGCAAUAGUUCAAAGCAUUUUCAUAUGUUAAAUAGUUACCGUGGUGAAGAUUUCGACUGUGUUGGUUAGAGAAGUACAAUUGAUGGCUAACACAUCUGGUAGUUCAUACCCUGCCUGUGAGUCAGAUUGGAACGGUACGAACUAGAGUGAGAAUAUUAAAUAUUUGAUCAAAAGAAAGAGUGGCUGCUCAAACAGAAUCGACAUUCCUAAAAGAAUAUGUACAGUAGCACUUUCAGCUAGUAGUAACAAUUACGUAUUUCUUGUCUCUUCACAAAACUCACCUACUUAUAAGCAAUACUUAAACGGAGGGGAUAAUAUACCUCCUUUGACCAAAGCAUUACAUUUUCCUUUACUCGGUCCAUGGACAAAGUUUUUCCAGUUCCGGGACACCCGCACACAUAUAAACUCCCGGCUCUCUCCUGCUCGAUGCAUGUCUUACAGAACUCAAAGAUCCUUUUCUGCUCCUCCUCGCGGCAUACGACAUUGCUGGGGGCCGUAGCCACGUGCAAUGCUUCUCUAACUGCUUGCAUCUGCGCCGGAUCUGUAUAAUAAAGGGAUCAAAGUCCAGAAUUUAUUAGAUUGAAACUUCGAUCAGAGCUCCUGAAGUCAUAUUUCUCUACCGAACUGCAGUUGCCUAUUAGUAAAUUUACACUGGCGAGGCAAAAGUCGACAUCUAUCGAACGAAUUUGGCCCGAUUAAAAGACUUGGCCGGGAGAGUUAAUCAGUCAGAGGAUUAAGAAGAAGAAAAGAAUUAAUUAAAAAAAGAAAAACUUCAAAGAAAAGAGAGACAGCGGAGAAGCAGGAGCCUGCCUGUGGGAUUCCACUUGGGCUUUUCUGAGAAUUGGUCGGAUAAUCUUUUCCUCGGAGACUUUGGAGAACACAAGAGCUCGCCUUUGGAAACUUUGCCAUUGCCCUGCCAAAUCCAAAUCCGAUAACAAAGCUUACAUUGCACCCCUCCACAAAAUGAAUAUAAAAUAAAAUAGAAGCAGAAUAAGAAGGGGGGGAAAAAAAAAAAGAAAGAAAAAAACACCCUAGAUUUGGUGUGCUGGGGAAGGGAAGGGAGAUCACAUUUGCAUUGGAGGAGGUGGAUCUCCGAUUCGCAGGGGAAUGGGUUUUAAUCGGAGUCCCGUCGUCGGUGCUGUGAGAUCUCGCUCGCUUCUUGUUCGCGGUGGAGCUCCCUUUGCCAUCCGUUUUUCCCAUGGCAGGGGAAGCGAUGGGCGACGAUGGGAGAAGCGUUUCUGAGCUUCUGAGAGUCGGCAUUGUGGAGAUUGCUACGUCGGGAAAGAGCUCGAAGCAGCGCGUGGGGUUCCUCGUUCUCUGCAAUGGAACAGAAGGAUCGAGAAGGGAGGCCGGGGGCGAAGAAGGAGGGGUUGUUUUGCGCGGGAAAUGGAUGGCGCGGUGAUUUCUCCCGCCAUGGUUAUUGCCGCUACCGGGCGCCGAGUGAUUGAGAGGCCCGGCCCUCGGACCGGAAUUGGGCCUCUACCGACAAGGCCCGCCUUGAGAUAUUAGCCCAUAAAAGCGUGCUCUCGUUGGGCUUCGGACGUGAUUGCGAAAAUAUAUCGUUAGAUUUUUUUUUUUUUCUAAAAAAAAUACUCUCCUCUAGAUUAUUUCUUUCAUUACGGUGACGAUAUUUUGACAGGAUAUUUUUUACACAUCCACGAGCUCACAAAUAUCUAAAAACAAACGCCGCGGUGCUCUCGUGUCCUUUUUAGUUUUCUGAUAUGCUUUCUCCAAGCUUGAUUUUUAUGAAUAAUAUAAUAUUAGAGCCAAUCCUAUGCCGUCUCUAUUUCAAUGAUGGUCCACUACAGUAACAGAAAGUAUUUGUUGUAAUUAAGUAAUUAAUUAAUUAAUUAAGCUGUCCUUUGUACUUGGCAAUCCAGCUCCUUCUCAACGGAUGGAGGAUAAGCUCAUUGGAAAAGUCCGUAGAUGGUAUGCCUGACGAGGGUUGCGUGGGUCAAUCGAGCUGGCGCGAGUCAGACGUUCGAGAUCGUUUGGGCUACGAAAAAAUCUGCUAGUUUGACCAGAGAGAUCCUGAUGGGCCCGUUGGCUUAAUGGUAGCACAACCACGCACAUACAGUUGUGAUAGGUUCAUUGGUGGAUUAAUCCCGUUCGGUCGGGUCUACAAAAGAAAAGCAUGGGUCAUCAGUGCCGCUGAAUGGAAGGACCAAAACCAAUACGUGCAAGCAAUGUGAAUGGAAGCCGUCUACUUACAAAGUGGAGAAUUAUUAUUUUACCUUUCAACUCCUGUACUGUAUUAUGUGAACCAUCUAUCAUAUGUCGUGCAUGUUCCGAUAUAUGCUUUUCAAUUACCGUAAAAUACAAUACUUUUUUUCUUUUCUCUUAAUUAGAAAAGAUUGCCGCUUAGUUGACGGUGAGUUUUGAAGUUUUAAAAAAUAACUAAUAAUAAUUAGGAUAAUUUUCGCAUUACCUUCGGAUUGGACACGUGGCAUGUAAUUCACGACAUUUAGCUAAUGUGAUUUUUAGUAUCUCUCUCUCUCUCUCUCUCUCUCAUCAUAAGAAUUGAGUUUGUGUUCCACCCAAUACCCACCCAAACACACCUGGUGCAGCAAUGAUUUCCAUAUCGCUAACGUUGUAAGUUGUUUAUUACUAACUACCACCAAUCAAACAGUUUUUGCCGCGCACAUAAAUCCUCCAACCUGGCGAGAAGCAUGGGCUCGGCCCCUGGGCAUGCGCGGCCCAUGUGACUCCCAUGCAUUCCGUCUCAGGGCUCGGACCCAGCAUCGCACGUGACGCGCCGCGUUCGCCCAGUUGGCACGCCUAAAUACCUUCCCUUUGGCCCUCAUUUUUACAGCCAGACGCCGACAGACACGUGUCACUUCCUACCCGUCCCAUUCUGCGGCGCCGUGAUAGGUGCGGUUGGACGCGGUAGAUGCGGACCCGUUCCCUCUGUUUUCUUCCAGUAGACUACUGGUUCCUCCGACCGGUAAAACAUGUAGGAGAGGAUGAGUCAAACAUAUUUUCCAAAGCUACUCUCCUCUUAUCCCCAAGGUUUGACAAGUAUCCAUGCGACUGUUCUCAUUCCAUAUGGCCUGUUCUAUAUUCAGGACAACAUGUGAUCUAAUAAGGUUUGUUGGCACGAUCCAAAAUAUCCAAUUCCAUAGCCCUGAGGCCUGAGACGAAGUAUUUAAUUUGCAGAUAUCUAGACUAUAUGCAGAGAGAGAGAGAGAGAGAGAGAGAGAGAGAGCGCGCGCGCGCGCGCUCGCGCUAUUAAUGGAGACGUGGUCCCAAUGCCACCUGCAUCAAUGACUCCAUCCAUAAAAAGCGAGGAGCCAUCCAUGUAGCAUGUGACUUGUGAUGGGCAGCGAGAUUUAAUUAAUAUCCAUCUAUCUCACGCUUGAGAUACAGGGUCUCAAUAUCAAUAAGCAUAUGGAUCACGUAGAGUUGGUGUUGUAAUUAAUUGCGAAAGUUAACCACAAAUGCGCUCCAAAAUGUCUGAAUUUAUGCUCAGCCCAGGAAAUGUCUGACAUUAUUUGAUACAGAAACAAGUACUUGAAUAGAACGGGCAAAAUUUGUGUUUAAAUAUUUCUAAAGUAAAAAAAGUCCAAGAUAUAUAUUUUUUUAUACGGAAAGCAUCGGCCAUCAACUUCUUCCUUUUUAGCUGCCGAAAUGGCACAAAACUUAUUGGCUGGAAGUGCUAAUAUCAGAUUUUAAAGAGACAAUAAGAUGAUGCUAUUUGGUCCGCAUAUAUGUUGCACGGCGUCUUAAUUAUCCCCACAAACUAAGUAAGCGAACUUAUAUCUCUUCUAACGGAAAAAAUCCUGGUGAUUGUCAGUCCUAGAACGCGACGAUUACUUUAAUUGACAUGUGAUUCUAGUGCAUCUGAUAGACUGGAAGGCUCUAGUAGCCGCCCCAGUCCACCGCACCUAAACAUGGGACCCAGCAAUUCUCAAUUUUCUCAUAAUCUGCUAUACGUUCUUGCUACUCAGUUAUUAAUUAGUUAAUUUUCCAUCAAUCAGGGAAGACUCCUUAAUUACCUUUGUGUCAGGUCAAACCCCGGUAAAGAUUAUCCACUGAUUUUACGACUAACUGCGGCUGUUAACCCCCGAUUUCCAGCAGCCUUUUCUAACUAUAUGCAAGCUACCAAAUGGCAUUAAGUCAAAAUUCGGCAGGCGUCGGUCACCUCUUUCGUUGACGACUCAAAACAGGUCCGUUUUCUCCGGAAUGUGGAAGACCUCCGUCUCCGCAAUUACUUAUUUAACAUAUUAGUUUUCAGAGAUUAGAUGAUAAGAAAUUAAGAAUCCCUCUCUCUCUCGCCCACUCUUUCUACCGAAUACAUGUGGGGGAAACAAAUAUAAGGAUAUCGAUGGCACUUGCGUAAAUUUACGCGACACACUCUCCGUACGUUAUCCGAAUUGUAAAUGACGAAAACUUCUUUUCUUCUUCUUUUUUAAUAAAAAAAGGUCGGUAUACAAGGAAGACGUGUUGGGUUUGCUAUUUGGAUAAGCAUGACCUUUUUGCAUUCACCGCCCGCGGAUUGGAAUUUCAAAUUUGUCCGUCCCCUUCUACACAACUUCCACGGUCCUACCCCCCCCUCUCGUAGUCGUAUAUAUACCCAUCCCCCUCAUUCCCCCUCUUUGUAGAGGACUAAAGAAAUCCCAAUCCCCAAUCCCAAUCCCAAUCCCAAUCCCAAUCCCAAUUCUUUUCUCCCAAGCAAAGAUAAUCAAAUCCAUCCGCCCAGCUUCUAAUUAUUAAUCUUUCCUCUCCAGUUUAUUUAUUUUUACGUGUACACCGAAUUUUGUUGUCGUAUCAACUCAUGCUCGAAUUGGACUGGAAAUCAAAAAAUAUGGCGGCCCCAGAAAUAUCGUUUAGAUCGUCGUCGCCGUCAUCGUCAUCGUCGAGAAUAUCAGAUGAAGGAAAACCCUCUCUCUGCUAUUCCAAUUCUCCGCAGUUGAUAAGGGACGAGUCUGCGAUCGCCGCCUACGAACACUACUUCCGCCUCCCGGAGCUCUCCAAGCUGUGGAGCUGCAGAGACUUCCCCGAGUGGAAGGACGAGCCGAUCGUGAAGCCGGCGCUGCAGGCCCUGGAGAUCACGUUCCGGUUCGUCUCCGUCGCGCUCUCCGACCCCCGGCCCUACGCCAACCACCGCGAGUGGCGGCGGCGCCUCGAGUCCCUCGCCGCGCGCCAGAUCGAGCUCGUCGCCGCGCUCUGCGAGGAGGAGGAGGAGGGGGGCGGCGCGCCCGUGGCGGGGCUGAGCNGAGUGGCGGCGGCGCCUCGAGUCCCUCGCCGCGCGCCAGAUCGAGCUCGUCGCCGCGCUCUGCGAGGAGGAGGAGGAGGGGGGCGGCGCGCCCGUCGCAGGGGGUGCUCUCCCGGGAGCGGAGCUCGCAGGAGGUGUGGAAGCUGCCCGGGGCGAGCGCCGUGGUGAGCCGCACGAGCGAGGCGAGCCUGCUCCCGCGCCUGGCCACGUGGGACAAGACCGAGGACGCGGCGUCCGCGAUCGCCUACCAGAUCGAGGGCCAGAUGCGGCGGUGCCGCUUCACCCUCGGCCUCGGCGAGCCCAACCUGGCGGGAAAGCCCGCUCUCGAGUACGACCUCGUGGUCCGGCCCGCGGAGCUCCACGCGCUGAGGAGAAGCCCUUCGGAGUCCCGGGCCCCGCGGAACCGCGAGAGCGAGGCGCUCGUCACCAUCCACCAGAUCCUCGAGUCGUGGCUCUGCGCCGCGCGGGAGCUCCUCUCGCGGGUGGGGCGGCGGAUCGACGGCGAGCAGUGGGAGGGGGCGGCGAGCGACUGCUGGCUCCUGGAGAGGACCUGGAAGCUUCUGGGCGAGGUGGAGGACCUGCACCUGCUGACGGACCCGGACGACUUCCUCCGCCUCGUCAAGAGCCAGCUGGCCAUCCGCGCCGGGUCCGGGUCGGACGCGCUCUGCUUCCGAUCGGCCGCCCUGGUCGAGGCGGCGGACGCGUCGCGGGAGCUGAAGCGGAGGGUGCCGUGGGUGCUCGGGGUGGAGGUGGACCCGGACGGCGGGCCCAGGCUGCAGGAGGCCGCGAUGAGGCUGCUCCACAGCCGGCGGCGCGGCGAGGGCGGCAACUCCGGCAGGAUCGACCUGCUGCAGUCCUUUCAGGCGGUCGAGGCGGCGGUCCGGCGGUUCUUCUUCGGGUACCGGCAGCUGAUCGCGGGGGUGAUGGGGAGCCUGGAGGCCGGCGGCAACAGGUCGCUCUUCUUGCCCUCCGAGUCGCUCGAUCCGCUGUCGCAGAUGUUUCUGGAGCCGCCCUACUUCCCCAGCCUGGACGCGGCCAAGACCUUCUUGGGAGACUUCUGGAGCAAGGACGCGUCGGACACCGGCUGCGGCUGCUCUUCAAAGACGACGGCUCCCCGAUGCUGAGCGUGGAUGAGAAUAUAUAUCUAUAUCCGCCCGAGGUGGGUUCGAUCGUACGCAUUCAAUUAAGCGUGAUUAAUUUGUGAGGCAAGUUUUGGGGCGUUUUCCCUACUACCAGGCGUCCAGCUUAAUUAGUUAACUUUUAACGGCAGAUGAUACAAGAGAUUUGCUCAUACGUUAUUUCAUCGCGGUGGUCGCCCAAUUAAUUGUUUUGUUUUUGGCAAGUAAAACAACAGUUGUUCUUUCUUUCACUGUUUCACAUCGUCUUCCGCAACAGCUUCCUUAAUUAAUUUGACGCUCGCUCCACACUAGCUAGUACAAAUUUAGCACCCAUUUUCGUUUGUCGAACCAAUGUAUAGAACACGAACGUUUAGACACGGACGGACCGUCCGGGAAAAUUCUUUCGCUCAGCAUCUUUUUCAACUUUUGUUUUUUCUCCCCAUUUGAGCUAGCUCUCAUUAAUUAGUUUGUCUGAGGAUCACUUCCGAGUUUAUUUGAUUGCGAUUUUAUUAAAUUUUUAAGGAAUUUAUUUACAAAUGCUUUUUUUUUUAAAAAAAAAGGUAUUUAUUUUUUACAAAUGUUAAAUGUCGAUUACUAAUGAAAUUGUUAAUUCGAAUAAAAUUUCCAAUUUAAAUGCCAAGCGGAAGAAGCCAACCUGUGUAUGUAUUUUGAUAACAUUUACGAAUUAAGUGAGUGGUUUAUUUAUCUGACUAUUCCUAUUCCUAUUUUGUACCACCGAAGAAGAUAAAAUUGAAACCGCCUUCGAAUUAAAAGUUUAGGGUGAUAUCAAACCAUCAAACAAAUGAGAUCCAUAUUGUCCUCAACACAAAUUAACCACACCACACCUUAAUCUUUUCGUUAGUUACUAAAACUAAAUUGAGCAGAUCAUAUAACAUCGAGAUGAUACUAACCAAACAAAUUAAACAAGGCAAGAACAUAAUUAAUUAUGUAUAAUUUUUUUUCUAGGGGUAGUGGAGGACUUACUUCAAGCCAUCUAAUAACAGCAGAUACUUCAAUAAUCGUCACAUUUACUAGCGAGGAAAGUGAGGCCCGAAACUUUGGCCCGACCCUCUCCUUCCUGAUGUUAGCCCAAUAAAUGCCAGGUAAGGCUCCGGGCCCAACUAGGUCCCAUUACGUAUUUAGUUUGCAGGCUCGAGUGCGUGCGCACUAUACUGGGCUUUGUGGGCUCCAGGUCCUAUUGGGCUCUAGGUGCACGACAUUUGCAGGCCGGGGAGAGGCGCCGGCCGGGUUAGUAGCAAAAAGUUUACACGACACUCCACAAAACUAGCUUUUCUAGUCAUCGACCACUCACGCAUCUCAUGCAUGUUGUGCUCAUCUUAAUUACGAUGAAAUUGUUUUGAACAGAAUUUGCGGAGCAUUUUAAACGGGAAAGGAGAGCAAAGAAAAAGAAAAAGCUCUAACCGGUAUUUGUCUUGUUUGAAUACAAGAAUUAUGUUAGAAAAACUAAUUAAAAGUUUGACCCAGCAUCGACCUUUCCAAAUUUGGACGUAAUUACAUAUAACCGGAGGUCGGCAUACAACUAGCUAGAAACUACCAUUGCAGCUGCUACUCUGAGAUCGAGACUGAGACUGAGACAUUUGCCAAGAUAUCAUCUCCAUGAGAUCCAUGUCGCCCUUGCUACUUGAAGAAGUUUGAUCCUUGAAGAAGAACUCAUCGCCCUCCGCCGCAAACACAUGGCCUGGAGACGCAUGUUCUUCGCGCAGAAGAUGGGGUUCACCGGUGUACUUAUCCUGGUUAGAACCCAUCUCAUAAAAUUCACCUUUAACCUCCUCAUGAUAUACCCAGUCAAGUGAUGGUGGCGAAGCCAUCAACAUGCAAUCGUCUAGGCCCCAUAAAUAGUAAGCAUCAUCGAGAGAAUCAUGAAUGCAUGGAUCAUGCAUGUUGCCCACAUGAUAUGCAUCAAAUUCGACGCUCUCGCUAUUAACAGACUGAUUCAAAUUUGUCUCCAUAGGUUGCUGCAUGGCGCCAUAAACUCCAUAGGUUGCAUUUGAUGGAAUUAAAUUUGGGGGAUCGUUCCUUCUGGUGCAAUUAUCCUUGAGGUUGGAUAUGGUCUUACUCCUUAUGUAGUCCUGCAGGAUCGACGGCUCGGGUUUUCCGCCUCGACUGCCUGUCUUUCUUUUGCUCCUUCUCUUUGCAUUCUGCCUCCUUUUGGUGGCAUUCCAGUGGUUCUUGAUGGAGUUCUCUGAUCUCCCCGGUACGUGCUUCGCAAUCUCUGCCCAUUUGUUACCGAACUUCUUGUGGGCUUCCACGAGCAUCCUUUCUUCCUCUUCAGUCCAUGUUUCCUUCUGCAGUAUAUAGGAACAUGCAUGCGUGCAUGAUAGAUUGACGUACAUCGAAAAAUAUCCAUGGGAAAUUAUAUGAAUAGCUGCUAGUUUAGGGUUUAAGAUAAUGCUUGUCAACCAACCAAAUUACCAGUCCGGCAUUGAGGAAACACGCACUAAUUACAAGUGGUCGCUACAAAGAAGCCUAAGAAUAAUUAGACAAUCUGCUUGCUUCUUGUAUUUCAUGCAUGGUAAGUUGGUAACAAGAAAUAUUGCAUGAGAUCAAAUAACAAAAAUUCUAUUUUCACGUAAAAAUAACGGGAAAAAGAAAAAGAAACCUUGAUAUCAGGACGGAGAUGAUUAUGCCAUCUUUCUCUGCACUGCUUCCCGAUCCUACCAACCAAAUUCUUUGCAAUCUGAGACCAUCUCCUAACACCGUGCUGAUCCACCAGUUGAACCAACAACCUUGAGCACCAGAGAAAGAAUAACUUAAUUAGAAACUUAUAGUGCAAUUACCUACUGUACGUAGUAUAUGGCAGACAUAUCAUAAUAACAGCUGUUAGCUAGUGAGAAGAUUUUUUCUUUUUCUUUUUAUUUUUUUCUUUUUUAGAGAACGAAAACCUGUCCUCCUCAGCUGUCCACUGUCCUUUCACAACAUUUUUAGCGGGGACUGUCGUGGUCGACGAAGAAGACGAGCUGCUUUGCGCCUUCUUCGAGCCCCUAUUCGACUCUCUCCUCGCCGCCUCCUCACCGUUACCAACAAGAAGACCGCCAAAAAAGCUCGACUCGUUCAACAAUAUUCCACUCGGAGGAACACCUAUUGCACUGGUGAUAUGAUCGAGGACACUCGGCCCACUUGGGUAAUUCACAGCUGUUUCCUCCCCCUUCACAGCCGAGAGGCAAAGCUCCCCAGUAGAAGAGCUGGAGAGGAACCUCUCCAACGGCGCCAGCAGUGGAGGCGGCCGCAGCGAGCGCAUUCUCUUCUCCACCAGCUCACGGAAUCCAAACCCUCUUUCCAUUCUAAGGAAAAGGAGAGAGAGAGAGAGGGAUGAAGAAGGUGACGAAGGAGGAGGAGAUUAUUAUUGUAAUUGUAAGAUUAUAAGAGUCCAAAAUGGGUGCGUGGAAGUGGUGGUGGUGUAGUGGUGGUGUGAAAUGGGGAAUGGCGUAGGUUUAGAGUGCUGUGCUAAAUUCGUGGGAGAGGGGGAGGGCGAGAGAUGUGGGAGGAAAGAAAGAGAAAAGGCUACAGUUACGCCCCAAAAGAGAGAGAGAGAGAGAGAGAGAGAGAGAGAGAGGUGCUUAAUUGCUUUUAUUGUUGUAGUAUUAUUCCCUUUGCCUUAAUAGCCUGUUUAUUAACUCGGACAUUAAUAGCCGUCCAUCUUAAGCACAUCCCACGGCUGAUCGUGCGCACAUGCUACGUAACGCUUCAUCUCCCAUUUUUCGAACUCCAUUUCUCAUCAAAUCAUCAUCAUCAUCAAUUCAUCAUCAUCAGCUCAGGAGCUUGCUGGGUUGGAUAUAUCGCCGGCCCAGCCCAAUACACCUAUGGGUCGGCCUACCUAUCUCGUGGAAAUCUAUUCACUGUAGAUUCCGGCCCAAGUGGAAAUUAGGUGUUCGAAUAGAAAAUGGCCCGAUCGUUUUUAGAUCACGAUCCGACAAAUUGGGCCAAUCUCUGGGUCUCCAUCUAAUUGGGUAGCUCAAGCGUAGUGCGCGCCACAAAUUAAACUGUUUUUAUCUCCAAUACAUAUCUCUCCACAGAGGCAAAUGAUGAUGACAUAACAUAUAAUAUGCACCACCCAUUCCAAACGUUCAUACUAAUUAAUCUAUCUACAUAUAGCAUGCCAAAAAAAAAAAAAAAAAAAAAAAAAAAAAAAAAGGAAAAAUCGUUGAGAUUGUAUGUAUUUUGCUAGGAAUUUAGCGGGGAAGGUGAUGAUGGGUGGCUAAUGAUAAGGCAACGCAAGGUCUAAAGUUGACCAAAAAAUUAAUCUGCGUCUGUCACUUUCAUUUAUGGCCGAUCUUUCUUCCAUGUUACUAAAUUGCGGCAUUUGAUUAUUAAGUAAUGAAAAAGAAUAAGCCAUCAUAUCCUUACCAAACCUUAUUUGUUAGUAAACAUCCAACAGUAUCUUAUCAGAUUGUUAUGAAUCUAGGCUAGCUAGUACGCAUGAUGUAGCCAAUUAAUUAUUAAUGCGAGGAUUUAGUACUUAAAAAAGAGAACAUGGGACUCUUUACAUUUCGGAAUCAUCUAUUUUUUUUCCCAUCUGUUUGAAAACUACAUUUGGAGUUAAUUGUCAUUUAGCGAGCUUGAAUUAAGCAAGAGAUUAAAAAGUGGUAUCUUGUAAGAUUUGUUAAUUCGGCUGAUAAUUAAGGUGCAUGUGGGUCACUCAAAGCUGUCCCCAGUGAAGUGAAAUUGGCACAAUUAAUUGUUUCCUUUUGGUGCCAAAUUAGUAACAGAGGUGUUUCUGGAGGGACACUUGUUUUUCACAUUCGUAACGCGCUAUACCUUCAGGUGGGAAUCACGUGCAUUGGUUUCACGCAUGUUUUAUUAGUGAAGUAGCACCAUGCAUGGCCAAUUGGCCAUGUGAAUGAGACAUGGAGACAUUAUGGAAGGCAUAUAUGCAUCACUUUUUGGAAAUUAUAUAUUUUAGAGUUUUUUGAAGAGCCUAAAAGAGCUUUUAAGAGAUCCAGUACCCCUCGAUCCACCGGAUGUUAACUUCACAACGCGGUAAACAUUUCAACCAUUAAUAUUUCGUAUAAUUAAUUGAACAGAAUCUAAGCUUCAAGUAAAGCAUUAAAGUUGCUGCGUUUGAAGAACACAUUUUAAGUAAUUAAUCUAGGCUAACGAAUAUUGAGCUAGCUAGCCGCCUCAUUAAUAAAAAGCCUCACAAUUGAGUCUUGUCUCCUAUCGCCAAAGAUGGAAACUCUUGAAGGGGCGAGAGCAUAUUCUGCUGGUGACCGAAUUACACAUCCUUUGCUAGCUAGCUACGAAAUCGGCAAGAUGCUCUUUGUUGCCGUUUUUCCACAUAUAUAUAUAUAUAUAUAUAUAUAGAGUCCGGCUACUAUGCCAUCGGUAGUACGGAGCGUUCCGUGCUACCAAGUUGUUUUCGAUGAUGCGGCUUCCAAAUCGGCGAUCGGCUCCGUUAGACUUGAUCUACACUAUUGAAAGUAUUUGGAAACUAAAUUUUAGAUUUUUUCGACAUCAUUUGACUAGUGAUCAAAAGAUCUCAAAAUUGACAAUUUUAAUGGCCGAUGUGGCGUGUUUGUGCAGUUAACGGUGUAAAACAAUUCCAAAAUCUGAUGAAAAUUUUAUAGAAAACUCUUUUCACUAUUUAAAGUAAGACAGUAUAUCUGAUCUUAAAUUUAAAUUUUUUAUCAUUAUUUUUAAUGAGAUUUUUAUUUUUAGCCGUUCAAUUUUAGACUAUGUUCUUGUUAGGUAAAUGAUAUCGAAAAAUUAUGAAAUUUAGUUUCCAAAUACUUUUCAAUAGUGUUUAGAUCAAUCUGAACGGAGCGAUCGUCGAUUUGGAGAGCCGCAUCACGAAAAAACAUUGUAGCACGGAGGCUCCGUGCUACCGCAUAGUAUAUAGCCUUAUUCUGUAUAAUUAUAUAGCUAUAGUAUAAUACUAGUUAUAUAUUAGAACUUAGGCUUAACUAAUUAGCUAUUGAAUAGCAUCAAGUCAUUGGUGCUACCAAGUUUUUGAGCCAUUGGCAUAAGAAAUGUGUGGUUAGGAUAAUGUUGGGUCCCUAGGUUGAAGUGGUGUGCGUUGGUUGAAUAAUAAUCGAUCUAACGGCUCCGUGAAAAAUGGAUCCAAAAGAGUAGAUUUAACGGCAGAAACUGUGUAGACAACGUGCUCCGUGCUAUUAAUGCUAGUAGCGGACUCCGUGUUUGUGAUUCACCUGGAUGUAAAACAAAUCCAAAUCUGAUGGCAAAAAUUUUAUAGAAAUCUUUCAAACUAUUUAAGUAAGACCGUAUAUUCUGACUUUAUCAAAUUUAAAUCUUUUUUUAUCAUCUAUUUUAUAUAUGAGAUUUUUUUUUAUAGGCCGCUCAUUUUAGAAAUCUUAUUUGAUUUAUGCGUACAAUUGAAUAUCGAAAAAUCUAUGAAUUGUUUCAAAUACUUCAAUAGUUUAUAUCAAAUCUAAAGGAGUCCGAAUCGUCGAUUUGGAAGCCGCCAUCAAAUUCGAAAACAACUGUUAGCACGGAGCGCUCCGUCUACCGGAUAUAUAGAGUACCUAAACUAUAUAAUACUAUAUAUAUAGAUUAUAUAUAAUAACUUAGGCUACUAUGAGCUAUUAAUGCAGCCAUAUUCAAGUCAUUGGUGCUACCUGCGUUUUUGCCAUUGGAUUAAGAAUGUGUGAUUAGAUACAUUGUGUCCCUUAGGGUUGAGUUCGAGGUAGUUGGUUGAAAUAUGUAUCAUGAUAUCAGUAGGGUGAAAAUGAUCAAAAGAGUAUGAUCUAACUGAGCACAAAUGAAAACUUGGUACCGCCAACCAUAAGUGCUUGUCAAGCAUUGCCGUGCUAUUAUAGCAUAGGUACCGGACUCUAUCGAUACAUAUAUAUAUUAUAUUAUAUUACAUAACCCAGACGUUACCUUAUAUAAUCUCUAGGCCACAUAAUUGGCCUAAGCGUAAAAUUCAUUUUUAUCUUUAACACCUUGGUAGAUAACACUAAAGGCCGUAGAAGUUUCAAUAAUUCUAUCACCUGCUCGGGGCCAUCAUCGUGUAAUAUGUGAAUAUGGCACCUCCGUCCCAUAAAUUAACGGCAUAUCCUACGCCAUGUCGAAACUGUCGAAGGGAAUUUGACGAUAAAUGGCAGGUCCAAUCUAAUGUCCAACGUCUGCAAAGAACAAACAAAAAUAGCAAACUUAGCUGCAUUGCCUCCAUGCCGUGUGAAAGCUCACACCAUGAAUGUUAUCAUCCAGCACCAUAAUAUUAUAGAUUGAUGCAUUGUAUCACUUGCAAGUUACAACUAAACAAUAUUCAACUUUACGUUAUUCUUUAUUUUGCGUAAAUCUCAUCAUUACCGAUCCAAAAAUGCAUGUUUCUCAAUGGGAAUCUGUCAUAAAUAAUUCAUGGGCAGUCAUGUAUGAAAAUUAUCGUGAGCAGUGAAGGAAGAUGUAUCUAAGUGGUAUGAUGUUGUCAAUUAAAUUAGGCGUAGAAAAUCCACCUUAAGGAACAAUCAUUAAUUAAUCGAUUCGUUACCUGCUACAUUUUUAUAUAUUAGAAUCUCUAUAUUUUAUAAUUUUAUUCUAGAGCUAAAAAGUAUACCAUAAUUAUAUAUUUAUUAAAUAUUAUAUAUUAUAUAUCAGAGUAGUACUAUGGCUAUCGGACAGCACGAGCUUCGUCUUCACGGCGGUUUUACGAUGUUGCGCGAUACUCUUCGAAUCGUCGAUGCUAGGCUCCGGCCAUCUCCGUUAAACUUUGAUCUAUGGUUGAGUAUUUGAAGUAGCGACAAUUUAGGCAAAAAUAAUUCUGUUAUUAUUUUCGAUAAUUAUUUUGCCUAGGAUCGAAGGUGCUUUCAAAUACCAAUAAAUUUUAAUGGUCGUUGUGUAGACUCGUUUGUAGUUUAACGGUGUAUAGGAAAUAGUCCAAUAUCACACUUCAGUGAAUUUGACUAAAAAAAUACUUUAUAAUCUGUAUAAAAUAAGAUCUAAUAUCUUUGAUUUAAAAUUUAAUGUCAUAUGAUCACAUUUUGUUAGAUUUUCAUUAUUAUCAAGGAGCCGUUGAUUUUUGAGGACCCUCUUCGUUACUAGCGCAAUGAUAUCGUAACAAUCAUCAAUAAAAUUUUUCUUCUAGGUACUUCAAAUACUCUAGAUCAAGUUUAAACGAGGCCCGAUCGAACUAUUCGAAAAAGUCGCAAGCAUACGAACGAGUUGAAGCACGGAAGCGCUCCGUGCUUCCGAUAGGCAUAGUAUCCUCAACACUAUAUAUAGAUAUAUAUAAGUAUCAUUAUAUUAUAUUAUAUAUAUAGAGGGCUGCUGCUCUCAGGAGCACGGAGGCCUCACGUGCGCCUGAACCGUUUUCAAUGAUUGGGAUUUUCGAAUCGACGAUUCCGGUCUCCUUAGACUUGAUGCUACGGUAUUUUGAAAGUUUCUAAAAAUAAUCUUUUGCGAUAUUUUGAAUAUGCAUUACUUAGUUUGAUCGAAAGUAUCAAAUCAAUGAAUAAGUGGUUGAUAUCCGAUUGUCAAUUUUCAAAAUUUAACUCGGUGUGAAGUAUUUCAAAGAUCAAUAAAUUUUGAUAUAAAUAUUCCUUAAUAGCUCAUUUACAAUCAAGAUCAAUAUUCGAUCUAUGAAAUUUAGUACUAUAAUUGCCACUUUUUUAUAGGAUUUGUUUAUUUUUCAGCCGUAUAAAAAUUAUUAAUUUUCGAAUUUUUUGAUUGCUAGUAAAUGAUCUCAAAAAAAUCGCUAAAAAUAUUUUCUAGGAAACUGUCAAAUACGACUAGAUUCUAUAGACUCUACAUCCCCGGCCCUGGAUCGGUCGGAUUCAUAUAGAAAUUCCAUAUCGAUACUUCCUAGAGAGCGACAACAUGCCCUACAUCUCCUCUCUCUCUGAUUUACUAAGAGGUAGACUACACAUAUGUGACAGCAACAUUUCUGACCUCGUCGCAAGUCCGCCUCUCUGCACUUCCCCAACCCUUUCGGCGUGAUGCAGCGCCCACUCUUCCAGUUCCAUCUCCUUCGCUCUCAUCAACGAUUUUUUCCCACCUCUUCCAUCGCAGACUAUCGAUAUCUCUCCGUCCUCAUUUUCUUCUUUCUUCUCCUCACUUCCUCAGUCUCCACAUCUCUCUCUCGAAGUCUCUCUUCUCUAAUAUACCUAUAAAUUAUAAUACUAUAUAUUAGAUGGAAGAGAGAGUCUGGAACGUCAGCUCACUAUUAGUAGCAAAAUCCCAAUUUUGUGCUCACCUCCCAAGUCCUGAGUUUUUUAGCUCUUUGGAUCAACUCUUUUCAUGAUAAAUUUAUAAUCAUUUGAUUAAAUUACUAUAAACUCCAGUGGCGAGGGACACACUCAAAGCCCUAGUCGAAAAUCACUGCACGUCACUCUAACCGCUAAUAAAUGUGGAUUUUACUGAUUAAUAAAUUUUUUAUCUCCAAGGAUCUAAAAAAAAAACUUGAUAUGAUCACCUCAAGGCAAAACAGAGCAUUUUGACCUAUUAUAAGUAAUUUCGCAGCAUAAUUUUAUAUAUACUAAUACUAACGAAUUCGAUGCUACUCUAUUACUAUCAAUGAGUACUAAAUGCCCCCCGGUUUGGUACUAUUGAGUUUUGCCGCAGUUGGAGAAAGGAAAUUGUGAGGUUAGGAAAUGAUAUGGCCUCCCAAUUAAUACUUGAUAGGUGUCUCACUAGGGAUAGAGUGGGUGUUGGUUUUAAUAGAAUACAUACAUUAACGGAUUAGAAUGUGUAUUCAAAGGGUAUGAUCGAACGGUAGAAAACCUCAAUAUACCCAAGGGCUUUGUACUUAUCAAAUAGUAUAGUAGACCCGGACUCAUCUUUCCUCUCCUUCUCUCUCGCUCCAUUCUCCAUUCUCUUAAUAUUAUAAUCAAAUAAAUAUAUAUAUUGGACUUGAAAUUUCUUACAUAUAUCUUAUAAAAGGCUUCAUUAAUUUCUUACAUGCUGGUACAUAAUGUAAAGGUCGAACAGAACUUUGCCUCUUAAAAAGGGCAAGCUAGCUUCAUUUCUUUGCUCAGAAGUUCCGCGAGCUUUCACAGCCACUAAUUACAAAAGGAUAUUAAUUUUGAACACCUACUCAACUCCAUUGGUCUUUGAAAGAGAUGCUGAUGAAAAGUUCAAAGGAAACUCUAGAUUCUAAAUUGUACUUAAUUUUCCAGAGCCAAACUCUUUUCUCGAUGACUGGCGACAAUAUAUACUGAUUGGUAUAACGUAUCGGAGAGGGCGCUCUCAAUCAUAUGUUUAGUUGCUCGUUAGGUGUAAACUGCAUGCAUGCAUUAGUCAACUAGGCUUUUUAAUGAUACUGACUUUUAACACUGUCUAUCUAUGAGGACAAUCAGUUUCCGUUUGUGUGCAAAGUUCCUUCCUAGUUAAUAGCUCGAGGUAGAACGCCUAAUUCUGGCAGUCCGAUAAAUAUUCGAUCGGUUGACAUUUUGCAGUAAUUAAUGUGGUGAAUUUUGCCAAUAAGAGUUGCAGGUCACACAUUUUCAUAAAUACUACUUAAAAUUACAAGGAUUAAUCAGUUGAAGUUAAUUUAAUUUCCAGAUCCAAGUCUCUAAUGGUAGCUUUCUACUUUCUUCAGGACUUGUGAAGCUAGACUACAGGCUUGAUCAUCACAAAUAUGUUAUUUUGACAUGGGAAAAAGCCGCUGGAUAUAUUUGUCGUUAGAAGUAUCAAAUUUGCCUACGCAUUGACUGGUAUGUCUCGGGACUAAUAAAUAGUUGCCUUGGUGGUGCAUUUACCAGCUGGGCAAUUCAUGAUCAUCCAUUUCUAGAUAGAAAGAAGAACCAAACCGCGUACGCUCACCUUUUUAUUCCCAAUUGAGUGUAGAGGUUAGCAUAGAAAUUAAAUGGUACAUAAAAGUAGGACUAUCUAGUUAGGAGGCCCAUCAAUAACGAGUAAGUUUAGUAGGGUUUGAACACUUACAUUGCUACUUUACUGCGCAUCCAUGAACCAGGCAUAUAUGUAUGUUUGUACCAAUCACAGAGAAGGUUGCUCGAAACUGCAAAAACCACGCACAUCACCUGUGAAAUGUUCCAAUUAUAUUAAUGCCUUGCGAAUGAUUGUCUACCUAACGAUUCACGUGGUAGUGCCGACUCGAACCCUCCAAUUUGGUGCCAUUUCCUUGCAUGUUUCAUGUGCGAAAAAAUUUGCGUAUGCAAAAACAAUCCUGCUUCUGAUCACGUGCAGUGAGAUGCAUACCUGCCGUUCAAUUUGGACGGUACGCAGGCAUUCUUGCUUUUGGGUGUACGUACGACAGAAAUAGCCUCUAUACAAAAGCUUCUUGCCCCUGGGUUUAUGCUCAAUGUGCGCGUGUCCAAUUCUUGCUUUGUUACGGCGAGUUCACUUGGAGAUUCGCAAGCAACGGGUUAAUAGGAGAAUUGGCUCGGACUUGGUAUUGUGCUGUCAUGUUGAAUCUUUUCUCGAUGACUAAGGGCCUGUUUGUUUUGGUGUAAGUGGAAUGAUGGAACUCAAGUUUCAUCACUUUCGUUAUUUAUUUUAGUGUAAGUGAAAAAUAUAAUGUAACUCAAGUUACGUUAGAGCUCCACUUCACCUACUCUCGACUUUUUCUUCUAAAAUGCUGAACUCGACUUUCAACACACUCAACUACGAGAAAGUCAGAGUUUCAAAAAAUCCACUCCCUAGCCAUGCACCUUCCGCCUUUGCUUUCAGUCUUUCCUUCCAGUACCAUAACACUCAGUUUCAGGCCACUAUACCGAAAGAAAGAAACUCCGGACACUAAUCCAAGAGGGAAAGCUAGCCUCACUAUACCGAUCAUGGUUUCUGCACCUAAACACAUCCCUUCCUUCUCAUUUGGCUUAGGGGAUGCCCAAAGCUAGCCUCACUCUCAUAUCUCUUUACCAAAGCAGCUUAAGCUAAAUCUCUCUCAUUUCACUUGUUGGAUAAACACGAAACUCGAUUAGCGUCAGGCAUUUUUUCUAAAAAAUUUAUUUAUUAAAUAGUAAAAUCUAAGCUCUACUUCUUUUAUAAUGAUUAGAAUUACCUUAUUUAUAAUAAAUUAAGAUUACCUUUAGUGCCCGUUUGGUUUGAGUUAUGUAAUAUUACAAAGUAUCUCGACAUAUCCAGAUAUCUUAAAUUUUGGCGUGAUAUUACUACUGAUGCUGCAUUAGAGCGUUUGGUUUAAUACAGUAAUGUAAUACUAGAUUACAGUAUUUAUAGCAUUAAUAUGUUUGGUUCAGUUUAUAAAAUUUAGUAAUCCUGACAUAAAAGUAUAGUUUUCUUCAAAAUUGCCCUUGUUGUGGUCAUUUGAAUAUUAUUUUUUGCGAAAAUGGCGAAUGGAGGGAAGGAGAUCGUGAUGAUUACGACGCAAUCGAAGAUGAUAGGUGUUCGUGCGAGAGAGAGAGAGAGAGAGAGAGAGAGAGAGACGUUGAGAGAAAGAGAGCGAGAGAAAGCGGCGUGCGAGAGAGAGGGCCGGGGGGAAGGCGAGAGAGAGAUGAAAAUAAUGUUGUUAAUUAGAUUUGGGAUUGUUGGAGGGUAAAUUGUCAUUUUACAUAAUAGGUAGUAUUAACGGAUUUCAGUAAUGCAAGAUACACGACCUCCCUCCCGUUAAUAUUUUCGAUAUAAUCCUGCUCGAUUUGUAAUGCUACAUUAACGAUUAGAUUACAUAGCGGAUUAACCAAACACAGUUAUUCUGGUAGGAUUGCCUGUAAUCCUGUCAGGAUAAUUCAAACCAAACGCACCCUUAAAUAAUAAUAAUAAAAAAAUUAAUUAUAUAAUAGGUUAAAUUUGCUAGUGGUAAAUUUACUACUAUAUUUAGGAGAUAAUGGGAUCCACUUAUUUACAUCAAAACAAAUAACGAAACUAAAAAAACUAAUUAAUUUUACCAGUACCAAGUUAUAUCAAAAGAAACAGAAAAAGUAAUUGAAUUUAACUUUCAGACUGUACGAGUUACGUGAAAACAAACAACAAAAAAAUAAUCACACUUCAGAAAAACUCAAGCACCACUACAUUUGACUUACGUUGGAUCUAUAGAUUCGUCAAUCCAAACGCCCCCAAGCGUUCAGUUUAAUUUUUGGAGCAAUUUUUGGGGUGGCGAACCACACAAUUCUGGAUUGAUUUUCCCAUAAAAACCGUCAGAUCCGAGGAGCUAAAAGAUGAGAGAGAGAGCCAGUAGAACGAACCGGGAGUUUAUUUUUAUUAUUAUUAUUAUGUUAUUGCUAAUUACAAGAAUUAUACUACUUCCGGAGCAGAAGAGAGCAGCUCAUAUAUAACUGUUCCACACACACCCGCCAUAAGAACUAGAGCUAAAACUAGAACUAGAACUAGAAAAAUGCAACUCGGGCCAGCUCCCGAGUUAAUUAAGAGACAAAACUCUCAAAAGACGGGCUUCCAUCGCCCAUCCACUGAACGAUGAGCACCAGAUACCAAACGGCCUCGUGGCCACAGUCGAUGUGAAAGCACUUCCCUGCUCCAAUGGCUUCUAAUUAAAAACGCCCCCCCGCGUUGUUGCCCAUUCUAACGGGCCAUGCACAUGCUCAUUUUUUUUGUGUUCGCUUCCCGUUUGUGGUGAAAAUGCGCAAUUUCCCGGGCGUGGAGGUUGAAUUAUGCUUCGUCGGUAUCGAGAGGGUAGCAGGUGUCCUCACCGCCGGUGUUCCAGAGGAAGUGGGCGUAGUUAGCAGCGUAGAAGCUGUUUCCGGGAUCGGCAGCAAUGGCCUCCAGGUAGGUCUCCUCCGCCGCCUCCAGGUCCUUCCGCGCCACCCACAGGAACGUCGCGUACCGGCUCAGAGCCUCUGCAUCUGCCGGCUCGAUCCGCACCGCUUUCUUGAAGUAGUACUCCGCCCUGCACGUUCGUUCAUUAAAAUUGUCCCCCAAAUUCCAUGCACUUUCAGUACCCAUACAAUGCAUUUAAAAAAAUAGUAAAGCGGGAAAAAAAAAUAGACAGCAUGGUAAUUAAUCACUGGUAACUAAUUUCCGAAUCCUAAUUGAUUGAAUCGAUCGAUAUAUACCUAUCGUGAUCGCGGAGGACGAGAUAGAGGAACUGAGCGAAGUUGGAGACGAGGAGAGAGUUGUCGGGCUCCGCGGACAGCGCCUGCUGAUACAUGAGCUCCGUUCUAAAAUGCGCCGUCGAACCAUCAUCGCCCUCGAACUCCACCGCAACGGGCGCAACGAGCCGCUUCAAGACGGUGGGAUCCAUAAGCGACUCGUGCAUCACUCUCGCUCGCAUUCCAGAAGCUUCCUCCACCACUCUGUUCCAAACCACGGACUCGUCCUCCUCCUCCGCCUCCGAUGCGUCUUUUUCUACUCUCUUCUCCUCCGGGAGCGUCGCAGGGACGUUCGAUAUCCCUUCAGGAACGAUCGUGCGGCUCUCGCGGUACCCAUCGGAUCGCCCCUCGUCGCUCGACCCCGCCACCGGCCUCACCUUCCCCCCGCCGCCGCCGCCGCCGCCGCUCCCUCCGACCUCCGCCGUCCUCCCCACCGAGAACGACUUCACCGACGCCGAUGCGAACCGCUGUCGCUUGGUCUGAGGCGGGCUCUCGACCGGCAUCACGGCGGCGGAUCGAGGCGUGGGAUCGCGGGGAGGCGCGGCGGCCGCGGAGGCGACGGUGUGGGCCAUGGAGUGGACGGUGAAGUCGGCGAGGAGGAGCAUGAGGAAGAGCAUGAGGGUGGGGGUGCACGAGAAGAUGUGCUGGAAGAGCCAGACGAAGGAGGCGUGCAUCUCGUGGUGGACGCGCGCGAGGAUCCCCCGGAGAUCCUCGAGGAAGAGCAGCUCCCGCAUGUGGAGCGUGAAGCUGUGGAGCUCGCGGAUGAUGAACACCAUGGACGAGAAGGCCCUCUUCACGGAGCUCAGCGCCGACUCCCCCGCGUCCCGGAAGAAGUCCUCCUCCCACCGCUGCUGCUGCUGCUUCUUCUGCAUGAUGAUCCGCAGCGGCAGCGGCAGCGGCCCGCUGUUCGCCGCCACGAUCGACAGCGCGUCCCGAUCGGGCCAGUCCGGGGGCUCGUCGGGCCAGAUCGCCGGCCUUGCGGUGCCGGAGAAGGGCGAACCAGAUGCGGCGGCGGCGGCGGCAUCUCCUGCAUCUCUGCUGCCGCCGCCGAUCUCUGCAUCUCUCUUGCGAUCGUCGUCGCCGAGAGAAUCAGCUGAUUGUUCUCGAAUUCUCUUAUCGUCGUCGUCGUCGUCGUCGUCGUCGUCCAAGUGCUCCAGGCCUGCACUGACAGCUCUCCGCAGCUGUCCUUCCCUCCCCCGGCUUCCCCGCGGCCUGAAUAUCUCCGAAGACCGGGUUCUCGACAGCCUGCUGCCGCCGAGGAACGGCGACCGGUGCUCCGCGACGUGAUGGUGGGCGAGGGAGGCGUCGGAGCCGUAGAUGGGUCCGUAUCUCUUGGCGGAGCAAAUCGAAGCGAAAACAGAGGCCAGGGUCUGAGAGGCGGAGGGGGCGGCGGGAAACAGCUGCGACCAAUGCAAGCACGGCCCGGCCACUUGCACUCCCAUCUUCUUGCCCGCCGAUCACAAUUCACAAACCCAAUUCGGACCUAAUUAAAUUUACAAGGAAGUAGGUAAAGUUGUUUUAUUUAAUAAUUUUGCAAAUCAAGCGUAAAGGCUAGCCAGCAAGGUCAAAUUCCCGGAGAGCCCGUGAAGGAAUCCCCUUCACGCACUGCUCAUUCACUACUACUACUAGUAGUACUAUCUGUACUAGUAAGGAAUCUUCCUUCGCUCGCUCUUCCCUGCUUCCCUGCCUCCCUGCUUCGCUUCAAAUAGAAAGCAAACCCAACCAAAAACAACAUGCGCGCAGGGAUCAGCACCGAUUCCCUCCUCGUAGUACAGUAGUUAUUAUUCUCCUCCAAAACGAAAAAAUAAUAAUAAACAAAAACAAAAACAAAAACAAAAACAAAAACAAAAACAAAAACAAAGGGAGAGAUAGAGAGAGAAGAGAGAGCGAGAGAGAAAUAGAGAGAGAGAGAGAGAGAAUGCAAGCUCACUGGAAGAGGCGGGGGCGGUGGGCGGCCAAUUUAUUCGUGAUCGCAACGAAUGGGAGCGGCGCGGUGGAAAAGAAUCUCGCGCAGCACCGCCUCAGAUAUGUACGGCUCUUCUCCUCUCUCUGACUCAUCUCGCAACUUGCACCCGUGUGUGCUCUUAUACGCACCUCACAGUAUUAUUAUUAUUAUUAUUAUUAUUAUUAUUAUUAUUAUUAUUAUUUUAAACAAUAGUAAAGGGAUGUAGUAACCAUGAAAAUAUAUAAUAUUUAAAUGGGUAGCGCGAUGAAUAUUCAAUGUAGCUUUACCGAAGCAUCGCCUUUUUAAUCUUUUGUUUUUAUGAAAGCGUACGUACUUUGCGUUGCGUCCGGGCCUAAACCGCGCCUAAAGGCUAUUUUACAUAGAAAGUGAAAGUACAGGACGCGUGCCACCGCUACGAGACACACAGCGCCCGCCGUGGUAGAAACGUGAACCGUCCAGGCUUCACCCGUACGUUUGCAUCAUGUACACCCAUUGCCAACCUCCUUUCAAGUCUGUCCCCAAAUUUAUAACAUUUAAUUAAAUAUUUUUUUUAUUUUUAAUAUGGCAGUGAUUAAUAUCAAAAAAAUUAGAUAGUAUGCGCGCGUAUACAAAAUUAUAAAUUUCACAGAUUUAUUUUUUGGACAUUUGUAAUCUUGAAAAAUAAUCGCUCAAUUUUUAAAAGUUAGAUAUAUAAAAUUUAUGAUGUGUGACAAUAUAUAAAUCUUUUAAAUAUCAUACGAUACAUUCAAUUAAUCGGAUUUUCAUUUAGAAACUUGUAUGUUCGGUAAUUUUGGGUGCAUUGUAUGAAACUUGCCGGGUAAUUAAGUAGCCCCAGGCAAUAAUAUCCUGUAGCAUGUGCAGUGUGGUGCCCUGCUAUGCGCGCGAGUCCCCUCCGAUGCAGUUGGGCUUUUGUAUAUGAAAUUAUAUUGCGACCAGUGAGUAACGGAAUAAUAUUCUGUGUGUAGAAUAUUUUUUUACACUUUCGAGUCCAAGUUCGAUCCAAGCAUGGUCCCGCCCAAAAGAUCUAUUUCUAUUAGACCGAGGACAGCCUGGGUCCUUUACCACCACUAAGAAAAAACAAGGAAUCGCCCGUUAUGUUAAUAAGCCGAUAUUAUCUAUAUAAAACUUAGUUAAUUAAGGGUCAGUUUUUGGCUCCUAAGCCGUAUUCUUUUAUUGGGUAAAAGCGCGCUUAUUAGUUAGAUCUUUAAGUCUCCUUUAUUUUAGCAUCUAUACAUCCUGCAGAAAUCUAGAAAUAAAUAGAAAAGUACAUGAUGAGAUGAGGUUAAUCAAGGCACUCAUUCGGUUUAACAUUUUCUUUGUUUCCACUCUGAUGCUGUCGCUCGCAAGCAGACGAGCGUGUUAUAAAAUAUCUGGUGGUGCGAAGAAUCAACGAACGGCUCAAAUUGGAGACGGAGAAAAUCACCAAAAUGCCACACUGUGCCCGUACUGGGCGCUGACCUCACGACUCUGACACAUUCAAUGCAUUAUAUCCCGUCCCAUUCUAUCUAAUGAACGGCCCACGUAGCUUUCUUAAUUUCGGCAGCGGGAGCGACGGUCGAGAUCAAACCUUCCAAAUCUGGUAAUUCAUAAUGCAACAGUGAUUAGCCGAGGAUAUAUAUAAUAAUUAACUAAUACUUGCGGAGGAAAGAGCAUAGCAGCUUUCAAUUUUACUUCGGCGCCUUUAAUCAUGUAUCACAUCGCGCAGAAAGCAGUGGGUCUCUUGUCCAACGCCCCCUCUUAUUUUCUUCUCCAUAAAUAUGUUGUUUUAUUUGUAGAAAAAAUCAUCCAUGGUAUCUUCGGGAAACAGAAAUAAUAUUCGCGAAGAAGGAGCAAGCGUGAAAAAAAAAACAAAAACAAAACAUUUAAAAUAAAAGGGCUUGUCUACUGUUGUAUUUUCUCCCUAUAUUUUUUUCACAAUGAAGGAUCUUGUAGAUGCAAAAUCCAUAACUAGAAGUUGAUGAAUGUGCGUUUUGACUGCUUAUUGUUAUUGAACCACCGGCGCUUACAACAAUUAGAAGAUCCUGAAUUUGACUAAAAUGCUAGCUAAAGAUCAAUUUAGUAAUUCAAUUUAUCAAGACAAAUCGGGAACAGGAACCAAACAUUUUCGGAAACCUGACUGGCCCGAACCAAACAUUGUACUCUGUGCAUGGUUUUCUCUCCUUUUUUUUUUUUUCUUUUCUUUUUUUAAUUUGUUGAUGGGCUCUGGAUAUUGGAUAAUGUUCUCCUGUUGGACCAUUCACCUCAUAUAUAGUUGGCUCCGUCUAAACAUGGUCCGAAAAUGAGCAAAACUAUAUGCACAUAUAAAAUAAUAAUAAUAAUAAUAAUAGUAAAUAAAAUGAUGUCAAUUAAUGUUUGAAUGCCAGACCUUUCAUAUGCAUUUCAUUAGCGAGGUAAGCUCGCAAUUGUUGUUAUUAAUACUGAUUAAAUUGGUGGCACAGGCACACUCAUGAUGUUCUACGUUAAAGUGUUAUAAAUUUGGAUUUGAGGACUAGAUAUAGACUUGCAUAAAUGCCUAACCCACUAGCGAAGCAAAAGAAGCUUAUAUGAGUUCCUGAGAUGGGGAGAUUCUACAUAUAAAAGUUGCGUAUUUUAAGCUGCAACAAGAAGGUUCGACCAAAUGAUGAUCAUGACCAUUGUAUCUGAAAAUAGAAAUAGGUGUGUUAAUUAGGAAGCAUAAAAGAUCAGUUCAUUUCCAGUGGCUAUGAGGGAAGCACCAACUAGUAUAUCAGCUCGAUCAGUCGCUCUCUCGGCCGUCUUCUUCCUGCAGAAAGGUUAAUGAAAUGGUUUAAAUUAAAGGAGAGCCACUUAAUUAAUUAGAAGUUCCUUGGCAACUUUGUAAUUGCAAAACAUUUGUCAGUGAUUUGACAAAAUAAUGAAAUAGAGACUCGUUAAUUCUGAGCCAUUAAUUUGUCUUCCGGUUGAUUUGUAAGUAUUAAUAGUGUCAAAGUUAUACGUGGCCGUCGUGGUUCACGUGGCCUCAGGAGCAAACACAGAGAGAGAGAGAGAGAGAGAGAGAGAGACUCGUUUUCAAUAAAUAGGUUGAUGCUUAUCUCUUACGCUCUUUUUCCUUGCUUCCAUACAUAGAUCUCGCUAUCCAUCCCCCGUCGCCCGUCGCUUCCCCCUCUUAUCAUCUAAUGCGAGUGGGCUCGAAUCUCAUCAUUCCAUAUAUCUACAACCUAUGCAUAUAUCAUGGUGAGAAUCGAGCCGUUUCCGUAAAUUCGGAAAUCCAGAAAAACUGGCCAUCCAGAGCACGCAAUUCUCCCUUCUCAAUUUCACUUUUCUGAGUUAUGACUGCAGCGAAUUUUCUAUGUUUCAAAGAUUAAUAAAUAUGUAGGGCUGUCACUUGUCAGCAGUUCUUUUCUUCUUAAUUUUCAAAAUUCGACGCCCAACCCUUUCUGAAAGGGCCUUUCAUCUCGCUAUCGCUAUUCAAUUUUUCGACGGGACUCGAAUUUAAGACCGCGCACAAAUUAACCCGCCUAGUUUCCCUAGCUAUUAUUGGACUAGUAGGAAUUUGGCUUCGAUAUAUAUUCUCUGUAAUUCAACGCGAGGAUGUAUCGCUUUGCAUGUAAAUGAUUGAAUUCUCUCUAUCAACUACUAGUACAGGAUUGAUUAUAAUUCACGUGAAUACUGUUUCUGAUGAUGAAAAUUCAUUAGCAGAUCUUUUGGGUAGAAGCUACUACAAAGUACCAUAACAUUCAUGACGUGAGGUGCCUGUUGUAAUUUGUUACAGUAAAUUAAGAGAUUUAUUUCGAUCUAAACUACAGUAUCGAGUGACAUGCAUGUCAGGUGGUCCAGAGAUGAAAUCCCAAAAUUUUCUCUGUUCUCGUCUUAUAUAUUUCCCCUUCGUUGCUCAAAGAGGAAACCCCAGAGCCUCGUUGCAGCCACACUGUCGCUUAGUGCCAGUUUUUACCGAGCACGGAAGCAAUUCACUGGUGAGAUUAAUCGCGAAGAGCAUGUACAGACAAAUUUACUUACCCAACGUUUUCCCCGAAAAGGUGGGAGCGAGUUUCACUGAAAUGUAUUUUCUGACCCGAUAAACAUGUUUUUUUUUUAUAUAUAUAUUCCUUUAAAGAAAUUGAUGGCAAGCUGCUAUCUGCUUUAUUUAUUAGGAGAUUAGUUUCACUAAAUUCGGAUUGGACCAAGCAGCUUGAGUGAAUUGUCUGGGAGUAGUUUUGGUAGAUCACAAGCUUGGGAUUGGAUCACGUAGCUUGAGCAAGCAGUUUGGGGGAUCAAAAUGCGCGGAGACACACAUACACACACAGGGUCUCAAUAUGUUAAUUGCUUGCAUCUGCAAAUUAAUGAAUCAACAUGAAGGGUAGGCGGUCUAAAACAUAUAGAGAUAUUUCGGUACAACUGAAGCGUCAAUACCAUCCAUUUCUCUCAUUCAACAAUUUUAACCAUCAAUUUUUUGGAUUUUCGACCAUAUGAUCAUGAGAAGACAUAAGCAUCUGUACAAGUAUAGUAAUCUCUUCUGGAUUCAGCACGUUCAUUUGUACGGAAACUAAGUGGUGGCAAAUAAUUACUAACUUCUUUCUUUCUUUCUUUCUUUCUUUUUUUUAAAUCUCGUGUGAGGAGUAAAUAGGAGCCCACCAUCAAAGUGAGCGUGUACAAUUGGAAUCACAGCCUCGCAGGUUUAGAUAAGGGCCCGUGUGGAUCAUUGCGAUGUGGUACGGGGAUCAAAUUGGGCCAUGUAUUUGCUUAUGCAGUCCACCAUUACUUGGGCCCACGCGUUUGAGCAUAUCCAUCCGGGGUCAGCACACCACAACUGGGCAUCAUCUGAUUCGGUGGGGGUCGGGAGUGGGCUGGAUCCCAAUCCCAACUCUCUCCAUAAAAAACGUGACGCAUUUUAUGAUUGGUCCAAAUUUUACAAGAGCCAAUGAGACGUUGUUCCUUACUACAAAAGUUCGUCACAAAGCAUACACGGGAAUGACGUUUUGGUUGUCCAGGAAACGCACCAAUUUUUGUUUGGUGCUAGAGUUUAUAUUUAAUAGGUCUUAGACUUGACGUCUAGCAUUUAGUAACGUUACGCUUGUUUUUAGAAAGAAUAAAUUGAUGCCGACGACACUUGGCCCGGUUUCAAACUUGGAGAUUUCAACAUGCCUUCGAAAACAAAAAAGGAAAAAAAAAAGGAAAAGAAUAUAUAAGGUGUUUGCAAUGGUGGGAGUGGGCGAGUCUCAGUCACAUGAAAAAUAGAAUUUUUUCGUUUUGCAAUGGUCCAACCCAUUUUCGUACUCACGAGAAGUGAAGUAAAGGCCCAUUUAAGAAAUUAGUUUCCUUCGGUCCAAUACUUUAUCUGGACCCAAAAAGCCCAAAACACCCGCGCUAUGGGCCUCAAGCUAAAUACUUAACGGCCCAUCAUGUUAAUACGGCGAUUCCAGUUGUGCCACCACCGAAUUCAGCGCUGGAAUAGGGAGGAAGCGUGUUUCGGCCCCCUCACGACUAGCCAGCUACCGCAGAAAACUGAAACAAGUCGGCACCGUAGUAUGCUCCGUCACCGACUUCAGCGCCAUUCUACUUAGGAGCCUCCCUCGACCUCUCCCCUUCGACAUGCGUAAACCUGUGAGCAUCGUCGUCUCGUGGGAAAGAGACGGUGCGAUUGAGCGCUAGGUUUCAUCCGGCUCUUACCAGGUAUCGCCACUCCUCUUCGUUC
rnacentral:lncRNA from 1 species